rnacentral:lncRNA from 1 species
UUUUUUUUUUUUUUUUUUUUUCUAUACAAAAUUGUUCAUGGCGUUGUAUCCUCAAUUCUACAAAGGGAAUAUCAACAGCACAAAACAGCAAACAGAAAAGUAAGACUCAGUUACUACUCUCUUAGACCGUUUGGUCAAAUACACGAUAAAAUUGUUACAUUAAAAAGAGCAAAUAGUGUCAAGAAUUCAUGACUAGGAUAAUCUAGAAUUCAAGUCCAACUCCUGUUUUCAUUCCCUAGGUAUAUAUACAAGGUGCAGCAGACUAAAGGAUUGAUGAAACACGUUUAUCAAAUCAUCAGCCUUGCUCUUUAUACGGCGUCCAGAUCAAUUUGCCAACAUCAACCUCCAGACCAGCAGGACCAGCUGCUUUUAAGUGACGGUCCAAGACCUUUGGAUCAGCACAGAUGACAUGCUGCCCUUUCCUGUACUGAAUUAAUUCUAGACUCUGAAGAGUGGUCAAAAUAUCCUCUGCCUUGAUGGCAGUCAUGUCACUGAGCUCCUGCAAAACACAAACAUAGUUAACAUCAUUAUACAGUAUCCUGAAUUCAUUGUGAAUUUAACUAGAAAUAUUUGACAUUUCUUCUUGUAAUUUUUUCCCAUGGCACAAGCAUACUGACAUCAAAUUUUUAAGGUCCACGCAUAAUCAUGCAUGAAUGUAAAGGAGCGGAAACAGCAUUACUAAGGAUCUAUGGUUGUUGGAAGGAUGUAAGAGUGAGGAAAAACCAAAACACAUAUCGGAGUUCAAUUAUAAGGGAUAUAACCAUUUGGAAUUACGUACAGUGUAGAAAUCUAUUUUUACAAAGUGAAUAUGUAACUUUAUUAGGGAAGUUUAUAUAACUUGGCUGGUCUAAAUAUCCUAUAUCCUACCUAAUUCAUAGAAAUAAAACCAUUUUUAAGCUUGCAACUCUAAUGUUACAAAAGAACACUUGUCACAAUUUCCUAGUGUCCGGAACACUUCAAAAAUGAUCAGCAAAGUAGAACAAGCAAAUAUACUACAGGGAAGGUCUUGAUUAAAUAAGAGAGACAUGCUCACCUUGAUGGAAAUAUUUCCCUUAUGCUUCUUCAAGAUAUCUAGAAGCACCCGGGUCCAGUAUCCUCUGUAGCUUAAUAGUCCUAGGUCAGAGAGGGGUCUUUCGGGCGUACCAACUUUACCUUCUUUCUUUGAUAGUUCAUAUGCUGUUUCAUAUUUAGGAAACAUUAGUAAUUAUUUCUGGCAAAAUUGUUUGCUUUCAAUUCAAAUUAAGCCACAAGAACUAAAAAUUUUAAGAGACAGAAGCUUACAAAAGGCAAUUAGAAAUUUUCCAUAGCCUUUUCUUUGAUAAGGAGGAAGGGUAAGGAUACAUGCCAAGUUAUAGGACUCCUCCGAAUGUUUUUCCUGCAAGAUGAGAAAUGACAUUGAAUUUCAAGUUGAGUAGAAAGAUAUCUGACGAAACAUGAUCACACUGACAGAAAAUCAUCUGACAAGAAAUGGACAUCAGAGCUUCAGUCACUUCAAAAUUUCAGAACCCUGAGUGCUAUCUUCCCUCAUAUGUCAAAAGUUGUGCCAUGAGAAUUUCAUUGACUAUACCAUAAAUAAAAAUAAUAAAAAAAUAAAAAAGAAUAGGAUAGAAAUUCUACCAUAUAACACAAAGAAUUAUAACCAACUGCAACUUUUAUCAUAGCAACCUCUGAAUCAGAGAUAACACAAAACCAACUCCUAUACAAGUAGAUAAGGAUGGGAAAAACUCGGGAGUUAUCAAGAAAGUUAUAAAACCCCCAAUACAUCCAAUACACACACACGUGUGUGUGUGUGUGUAUAUAUAUAUAUAUAUAUAUCAUGGCAACAGUGCAAAAGGCUACUGAAUGUACUAUAAUAAUAAUUGAUAGGGUUAUAUUAUAACAUGCAGUGCUUGGUUAUAAGACUCAAAGCAUUGAGGCACAAGAAUAAUCAUCAUGCAAUACACAGCUACUAAACCAAGUAUCAUUGUAUGUAUAUGGCAGUAAAUUAUGCAGCAAUUAAAGAUGAGCAAUGACAGCAGACAAUACCUUUGAAAAAUAUCCAACCAUAUGGCAUCCCCGAUCAUCACAUUCACAUAGAAUGUAAAAUAGAAAGAGGUCAACAUCAUAGUACAGGGUCUUGUGAUCAAGAAACAGCUUUGCUAAAUAACAAAGGUUCUGUCCAUAAACCUUGUUCUUUUUACCAUCAACCUGAUUCAAAACAUUUUAAAAAAGCAAGUUAUAUCAACCACAAACUUGACUUCUGCAAGGCUGCAAAUAUAUCCAAAAACAAUUCAAGACUGAAAAAAUAAAGAGUAUGAAAGGAUGGUUAUGCAGUAUUAAAGUGUUUCAAAAUCAAUCGCAAAUUACAUAAAUCAUACACACACACACAAUGGGUUUCUUUAGAACUUAUCACCGAGAUAUUGUGCAGAUAUGCGGCAACUAACCUCAAACAUAGAAAGCGUAUGAUUCCGGUAUAUCUCAUCACCAGGAGGAUGCUUAAGAUCACACUUCCUCUGUAUACAAAGACAAGAAAAUGUAUGAUAAAUAAUGUUAACUACAAAAAGUUUUACGAAAGCAAGUGAACUUAAUAACAAAAAAUAUUAACCACAGGCUCACUAAUGCAUGAAUCUCUCUUUACAAACAAUUGUAAGCAAGGCAAAAUAACAAAAUUUGAGAGAGCUCACCAUAUGCCUCUGAAGCUGUUCUUUACGCUUCAUGAAAUUGAGACAAAACUCACAGAAGUACAGCUUCCCCGAGUCAUUAUAUUCUGGUGGAAACGGCGAGAAGUACCAUGUCUCAAUCUCAUAUCUUCCAAGUUCUAUAGUCGCUAUAUUUUUCACUUUAGUAAAUUCUUCAUGUUCACGUAAGCUAGCAGCAUCAAGUUCCUCAUGCCCCUAUAAAAAUACCAAAACACAUGAAAUAUAAGUUCACAUUUAGAGUCUCUCAUUAAAGCCCUACCUCACAGAUAUUCCGAUGUUACUAACUAGUAAUGUAGACAACUUCCACACAGAAUUUUACCAUAUACAUACAUAUAUAUAUAUAUAUAAAGCACUUAAGUUAUCCAAAUUGUGCAUACCUCCACAUGGGUCUCAUCAAUCUUACGCUUCUGAUGGCGAGUCAUUUUCAAGCUUGUGACCUGAGCACAGUAAAAAUUAAACAAAGUUCAUAUAAGGAAUAUUUUGUGUGAAACCCAGACAUCAUUGAACGCUUUGGAAACCUCAGGGUACAAUGAGCAGUGCCAAAAAAUACUGAAGAAAAAAACUCUGGAAAGGGGGUGAAAUGAACAACAUUACCUUGUCCUCCACUUUCUCAUCAACAACAGCCUCUACUGAAUCAAGGUCAAGUUGAUCAAGUUUCACCCACUCAUCAAGCCUCCUAUUGACUGUUCAGAUAAACAAAAAGAUGACAAUAUCAAUUUUACAUUGAUCAAUUUGAUUAUAUAACCAGGAGCAGAAUAUGUUAGAUACUAUGCCAUCUGAGGGGGGAAAACAAUUCUAAUAACGUUUACGCAAUAAUUAAGAUAUCAGGUGACAGAUGUGAUGUUCUAUUGUAUCAAAACGAAUUGUAACCAAACUAGAGAUAAACAGAACGACAUGACCCAAACAAGUUUGUUGUGCUUGUCACACCUCUUGCAUAAUAUUUCUUCUCUAUGCCCAGAAAUCCCCCAAACCCACUUUGCAAGACUGGUGAGUCCUGCCAUAGCCUACAAUCUUCAGGUGAACCGAAACUCUAGCAAUUAGCUAAAUGGUACCUUAAGGGGGAUCAGACACGAGACCCCAAGGAAGUUUCUACCUUAUGAUCCACCAUACCUGACAAAAGUUCCUUUGAUCUUUGCUUCCACAUCCAUUAUUCUCAAACCAUCUCCAUUUUACUGGCCCAACAGUCCCUAAUCAUAGUGAAUCUAUAUCCAAGUUACUGUUCUUACCUAUCCAAGGGUCGACAACCUCAUUAAUCAGUUCCUAAGAUUUUCCAGAGAACUCGAGAUAAAGGGUAGUUCUUUCUUUCAGUAUUAAGUGCAAUUAAGUGCAUAAUUCCACUCCUCCUAUCCUAAGUGCCAAUUAAGUUUCUUUUCAUCCCCAACUCCGGAAACAAGUCAUCAAUUCAUCACACAUCAACUCAGCCAAAUAGGAAGUUCAUCAAAUUGACCAAUGUCUGUUAACUACUACAAAAUAAACACCAAAUUGACCAAUACGAAAUACAAAUUCUCCCGAGUAGUGACCAAUUAUACCCAAACCAGUACCAAUUUCGCUAAAAUUUCAAAAUCGAAAAAAACCCUAACCCUAAUUGGCAAAAUCAAGCGAGAGAAAAAAGGAUCUUACACUCGGUAUAGUGAACGUAAUACUCGUAAUCGUUGGGUCCGCCGCCGUGAACCCUCCGGCGCUCGAUGACCUUGACUCCAUGGUACUUGUUGUCCCUCCAACGACACAGGACGCUCGUGCCGACCUCCAAAGGAAGCAGGGACAUCCUCCGCUUCUUCGACGCUUCCGAUUCCGGCGUCGUCACGGCGGCGGAGGGAGGAUAUCCAUCGCCGGUGUGAGGCUUGGUGUCGCCGUCGUAUGUGACGGUGGCGCCGUUGGGGGUAUCAGAGCCGUUUUCGGGAACCGGAGAUGUGCCUAUCGAACCCAUUGUCGGUUUAGCCAAAAACCCGAGAACAAGGGAAUUAAGAAUGAAACCUAGUGGGCCUGACCCAUAAACUGAGCUGGCUCGUGUUAUUGGGCUUGAACAUUAAAUACGAUCUCCAAUUUUUGAUCUAAAACUUAUUACUAAAUUACAUCGGAGUUAAGAGAUGUGAAAUCUACACAUUUUAAAUUGAAAUUCACACAAUUUUUUUUUUUUUUUUUUUUUGGUAAAAACAUUUACAAAAAGACAAAAUUUAAGUCAUUAAAAGAUAAAAUUCAAGUUACCAAAAAAAAAAAGGAUGUGUGGAUUUCACAACUCAUUAACAAAAAGUUACAUAAUUUUUUUUUUUGGACAAAAGUUACAUAAUUACUUUACAAGCAUGUCACCUUACCCUUAGAUCGACGGUUAAGGGUGUGAACCGCCAUACACAUAGUAGCGCAAUAUAAACUCAGUCCAAUGGAGGGCCGGGUAACCCCAAGAGAGGAACUGGUGUACUUGUUGUACUCUUGUAAUUUUUUAGUAGAAAGAGUUGUUUGGCGCUAUCUUACAGAAAAUAUUUUAGGAAAAUCCUACAACCUUGUGACAGCUUAUAUAUAGCUAAACAAGGAUUUGCUAAUUUUUAAAUGUAAUUCAAUCAAAUUAAGUUGAUUGAUUUUCAAGUGAACCUACUUUCGACAAUAUAUGGUUUGUGCCACAUUGGCCAAAUUCUCUGGGGAGAUGCUUUUUGUGGUACACAAAUAUCAUGUGGUACACAAAUUUAGAUUUUUGUUCGAAAAUUUUCAAUGUAAACGAGUUAGGAUUAAGGUCUUUUAAUUAGAAUUGAAUUCUUUUUGAAAUCAUCUAUUACUCAUUUGAAAUGGUGAAAUAGGGUAACACUGUAACAGAUUUCCCAACUUAGUCCUAUGAAAACAAGGACACGGAAAUGACACGGAAAAGAACAAAAGGAAAAACUUGAAAAAUCUCGGAAUCCUUAUCCUCCAAGGAAAUGGAAAGAGUUAUCAACGACUUGUUUUUUUCAUUAUAAAUACUACCAAUCUCACCACCAUAAUCUCACACCUUGCUUAAUUCGCUUCAUCCAAUCUAUCGAUUCAAAGCAGGUUUCUCUGUACUUGUCAAACGGUCAUGGCCGCAGCAGCAGUUCUGUGUGGAAACAAGAGGUCGUUCUUAUUCGAAGAAGAUGUGUACCCUUCAUCAAUUCAUCUACCCAAAAGACUUCGAUGCUCUUCUUCUCCUACGGUUCCUCCUCAACAUAAUGUCACUUCACUUCGUCGUCUAGCUGAGGAAACCAAACCUGAACGUUUCGGAAAGAGAGCGAAGCUGACUCAUGAGAAUCUGAGCAAUGUGGAGGAAUGGGUUGAGCUGUUUGUUAGAGAGAUGAGCAGCGCCACCAGCGUCGACGAUGCCAAGUCACGUGCUGCAAAGGCGCUAGAGGUCUUUGAGCAUGGGAUCAUGUCACGUGCUGCCGCCGAGGCUGAGGUGGUAGCCGCCCAGAAGGAGGAGCAGAAUAUGAUGCUGAAACAAGAAAUCCAAGAAAUAAAAAAGGAGAAUAUGAUUCAGAACGAGCGUCUUAAAGAAUAUCAGGGCCGAAACCAAGAACUAGAAGUUGCCAACUAUGGCUUGCAACUGCACCUCAAGCGAGCUCAAUGCAACACCUCCAUCCCUCUAAGUUUCCAUCCUCAUGUCUUUUGAUGGAUUUGAUCGAUUUUGAUUUUCUGAAUUGUGAUAUAUAUAUAUAUAUAUAUAUUAUUUUUUUUUUCUAAUAAGGAAGCUUAAGAGAUAUGCUAUGUACUGUAAAUGUUUGAUAAAAGAAAGGAAAGGCUGAUUGAAUGCCGAUCGAGAUCCUUGAUUUGAUAAAAGAACUUCUGACUGUUACAUAUAUUGUAAUGAAAAUUUUCUUUUUGGGAAGCAUACUAUUGUUAUUUCAACAAGACUACUAUUUCGCUUAACUUCUUCGAUGGCCAACAAUAGGGUCAGAUCGAUCAAAAGAUGAGUUCAAAAUGAACAAAGUAACGAGAAAACAGUAAGAAGCCACCAGUGGAAAUAAAUAACUCAAAUAAGCGACUAGCACAGCUUGUUUGUGUUGCUGUAAACGUCCAUUUCUAGAUUCACUUAAAAGUACCCCUCUACUAUUUUGCAUUGAACAAGGCAUAAAUUGCAUCAUCGACGAUUAGUUAAGGUUCAACAGAAGUCAGAACUGUACAAACUUCAUGCUCAAGAAAUCAAUCAUACAACUUGUAAUUUAAGCUUUCGACUAUAUGUGUAUGUAUAUAUAAUUAAUUGAACUUGCAAACAAGAAUGGGGCUUUCUUAUACAAAGCUCUACCAAUGUUAUGAAACUACUGCACCUCAAGCAAGCUCAGUGCUAUUCCGGCUGUACCAGUUUUAUCAUUUUUCUGCUUGUUGUCCAUUGCUGGUGUUGUUGGCUCUGCCAAUCAGUUGAAGCAAAGAAAACAGUUGGAGGUAUUCGUGUAUGUAAAUGUUGAUGAAAGUGAUAUGAGUAUACAUUUAUACACUCUUUUGUAGGGAUGACAAUCAUGACAUCAAGGUAUGGUAUGCCUAUAUGUGUAAAAGCAUUGGGGUGGAAGAUGGUCAUUAAACAACCACCAUUUGAUUUUUUUUUUAAUAAUGAAUAAUAAUAAAUAAAUAAAACAAAAAAUAUGGUUUACGUAAAUAGUUAUUAGUUAGUAAGCAUUUUUAUAAUUAGCUGACUAAGAAUAUUCAUGUAAUUUACAUACUGAUGUUGUGACCCUUAACCUAAAAAAAAACUAACGUACUUUGUUUUUAGUUAGUAAAAGGCUCUAUUUUUAUUAUCACACUUUGGUCAUCUCAUCGGUCUUAGUUUUUUUUUUUUUUUUUUUUUUUGUCUAUAUGAUCAUAUCACUUGUGUACAUUUUCAGCCAAAUCGGUGAUCGUUAAGGUAACGAACUUGAUAAAGGACGAACCAAAUCUGUCAAACAUUAACUGUUCAAGUUCAUGAUUCGUAAAUCACAGUUACAAAUACCUUAACGAUUUUUAAUUUAGCUGAAAAAUUACAGAAUUGAUCUACUCAAAUACCUAUAAACUGAAUGAUGAAGAUGUUGAUAUACGAUCGAAAGUGGAUGGACCAAUAAAGUCUUCAACUAGUGCUCAUUAUAGAGGUACUCAAUCCUCAUUAAAAUGGGCUUCCUGAUUACAUAUUUAUAUUAGAGAUGGUUGUCUACUCAAUAAUAUACAACAUAUUCCCUCACUCGGUCGUUUCUCUCUUCUCUCAGUCUUUUUCACAACAACAAAAAGAGUUUUAAAAAACCAAAGUUCGCAUAGCAACUGUAGAAGGCAUCAUAACCAAAAAUAAAUGAACUUGUCUAGCUUUCACCGGUAUACAAGUUCGGGAUGAUGAAGAAUUUUAAAGACUAAACCAAUCAUAGAAUUACCUCUUCUUGAGUCGUGACGGCCCUUCUUCUCCUCUAUAGCUAUUUGCCAACUCGCUGUUAGCGUCACUUGACCCGAGUUCAACAUCAGAGUCUGUUUUGAAGACAGGGAAAGGUUAUGACCCAGCAGCAAAAGCAAAACUGCAUAAUGAAUUCUACAAUAUCCAGCAUUUAUCUCAAGUCCUAACCCAUUAAACACCAUAAUUGAUACUAAUAUAACAAAUGAUCAAGUCUCCGCAACAAAGAAAGAGAAAAGAUACAUGAUAGGAUACCUUUAUAGUUUAAUUUCAUACUCUCUUCAUUUGGUGGCAUUACUAGAUGCACUCCGCAGCUUUUCAGGGGACCCAUGCCAGGAUAGACGUCUGGAUGAAAACUAACUCGACAUCGAAAAGGUGGCACCGGUCGACGAUAACCAAACCCACUCAUAUCCAUUCCAUCGAACGGAAUAUAUUGCAGCCACGCACCAUGACUAACGACACUGUGUCUCGUCACUACUAGUACUUCGUCGAUACGAAUUUCGAAUUUAAAUUGUACAUGCCUUUCACAUAGAGCCAGUCCUGUUACUCCUGUAUUCUCCCAUUUGAAAUUAGGAAGGACUUCAAUAUCAUAUUCAUACAGUACUCUAUCCUCUUCCAAGCCCAUUCGACAGCUGAACCACUCUAGCAUUUCAUCACUUGCUGUAAACACAAUCCUGAAUUCAGACUUCUGAGAAGAGAGAAAAAGAGACAAGAGAUCGGCCUUCCCCUCAUGAUGAUGAUGAUUAUCAAUUUUAUCAUUCACUAACAAAGGUAGUUCCUUCUUGGCCUCCUCGACCAGAUUGCCAUACAGUCUCCAGCAAUAGGAAAAGUCCAGGUCUCUGAACAUUUGCGAUUCUUGACGUUUCAAAAUGCUUGAUAACUUUGAAAUCCUUUCCAAUGAUACGCAACCACUCACCUCCAAAAUUUCUAAAUUUGGUGUAAGUUCCGGAACCUCUUGAAGGUUCUUGCACUCUUUUAAAUUAAGCCUCUUCAAUACGAUUAAUUUGGCAAGUCCAGCGGGAAGACUCACAAAAUUGCUGAAUGAAAGAUCAAGCGUGUGUAAGGCGGGGGCAUGAUCAAGCGUCACAAGGAAACCACAGUCUGAAAUACUGAGGGAGAAUAGCGAAGGAAACGCUAAAUUGCCUUGAUCAGAGUCUGAUGAAAUUUGCUUGCCGUAAUGUGAAAUGUUUGAGUUGGACGCUUCAGGGUAUUCCACCUUAUUAGAACAUGGAGUUGGCGCCAGUUUUGGGCAACCUCCGAGUCCAAGAUUCAAUAGACGUUGUAAUUCAAAAAUGCUGAGCGGAAGAGUCGUAAGAUUUUCACAUCCGCGUAAGUACAGCUCUUUGAGAUUAUAGAGUUGGUGUCCAAUUGAUGAAGGCACUUCUGUGAUGGCAGUUCCAGAUACAUUCAUGCUAACCAAGGAUUCCAUCCUUCCCACAAUUUCUGGGAAUUUCUCCAGUCUCUUGCAGCCGCGAAAAGUAAUAUAUUUCAGAGAUUUCAUUUUGACUAUUCUUGGAAACAUCUUAAGGUUAUAGCAAUCGUUGAGAUCGAAGCGCACAAGGUUCUCAAGUGAUCCAACAGAAUGGUGCAACUCGGCUAAAUUUGUACAGCCCCUUAAAUUCAACCUCUCCAAGUUCGGGAACCUUCCAGACAAGUCAGGGAUCUCUGUUAAGAAUUUGCAACUUCUGAAGCUUAGAGAUUUCAAAUUUUGCAAAUUCUGCAACAAAAGAAAGGAAAAAGAUCAAAUGACUCCUCUUAACAAUUUUAAAAAUAUUGCAGCUCGUCAAAACAACAAAUGAAAAGUUAACAGCUUAGAAUACCUUGAGUCCUUCCCCAAGUCGUGAGAUGCGACUGUUUCGCAUAUUGAGCUCGACAAGUUUUUGGGGAUUGAAGUCGGAUGGUAAAGAUUGUGCUGGGAAUCCAGGCCAAUCAAGGAACCUCAACUGAUUUGGAAGAUAAUUAACCUCUCCAGAGAACCGUGCAUUGAUGUUUAUAAAAAGUUGAAGAUUUUUCAUCUUUUUAAAGCAUUUAGGACUCAAGCAUAUCUCAUCUUCUCCUGGUAGCUCUACUCUGAUGCCUUUAACGUGAUUUGAGCCCUGAUACGAUAUAAAAAAUGAGGAUUAGGAAAGCAAGUACUAGUACCACAUACGACUUCAAUUUUCACAAUUAGGAAGCUCUAGACACACACAAACACAUAGAAGGAUACAAAUUCUAUACUAACCAUAUUUUCAGUUAAAACACGACGAACAUCCUCAUGGAACCAUACCCUGCUACGCCUGCCUGCAUCUAUGGGUGACUCUUUAUGAACUAUAUCUUUUCCCAUUUCCUCCAGCAAGUCAUGCGUCCAAAUCCGACCAGUCUCGGUAUUUAUGAGGGCCUUUUCUUCAAGUACUUCAAGAGCAUGUGCCGGGUAGGGAUCCUCUAGUGCUUGCAUCACAUAGUCUUUUUUUUUACCUUUUAAGAAACAUGCAAUGUCGAGAAAUACUUCUUUCAAAUGAUCUUCCAAUGCACUGUAACUUGUUUCAAGGACCUUUUGGAUACCUCUGUUUGGAUAUCUUUUGUAAGAUUUUAAUACAUCAUGCCAAUGAUUUAUAUCCUUACCGACAAGAAGUGAACCUAAAAUGUUUAUAGCUAAUGGAAGGCAGUGAGCAACGCGUACAGCAGUAUCAAUUGGGAACUUCACACACUCAUCUGGAUUUUUGUUUCCCUUGAAGGCAUUCAAAAUCAAGAGGUUACGAGCUUCAUCGUCAUCUAAUGCCUUGGCUGUGUAUAUUGGGUUAACUUGGUGAGAAAUUAGCAAACCUUUAUCUCUUGUAGUUAUGAUAAUUCUGCUGCCACGACCAAACCAAUCCAGUCCUCCAGCUAAUUUGUCCAACUGGUUCAAUUCAUUCACAUCAUCAAGAACUAAGAGAACCCUUUUACUACCCAAUCUGUCCUUUAUCACCUGGAUUCCUCUAUCAGCAUCAGUCAUCUCCAUUUUCUGCCCCCCUAAGAUCUCAUUAAGAAGAUUAUUUUGUAGUUGAACUAGGCCUUGAUGGGGUACUGAAGCUGCUCUAACAUUUGCCAAGAAACACCAACCUUCAAACUUAUGGCGGAAUGAGUUGAAUAAUUCUUUAGCAAUUGUUGUUUUGCCUAUUCCUCCAAUACCCCAUAUACCAACCAUGCGAACAUCACUUCCUCCGACAUCUAAAAGCUCAAGCAGAUUUUGUACACGAGACUCUAUUCCAACUGGAUACUUUGCGACAUUUAAGCAACUACGUUUUGAUACUUGUGCUGAAAUCUCUUCGGCAAUCUUACUGAUGAAGUUAGCUUCGUGCCUGCCAAUUUAAAUUCGAAAAAUAUUUUAUCAGAUGCAACUUAGCGGCGAUAUUAAAAAUUGAAAUGCUCAGAUGUGGAAAUAUACCCGUCGGAGAAAGUCCACCCUAAUAUAUUAGCCGCAUCCCUCAGAGCCGUCCUCCAUCUUUUCACCUUGUCCAUGUUGUCUUUGAAUCUGAUCUCAUGUUUAGCUAGUGCCUCACCAUAUUUACCUUUCUGGCACCGUACAUCGGAGGCAUCCACUUUGUAAAAAAUGGGCCAAACUAGUUGCUGCUUCAACUCUUUACAUUUAAGGAUCUCAACAAGCUCAUCCAAACACCACCCUGAGGAUGCGUAGUUUUCAGAAAAGAUGAGUAUAGAAAUCUUCGAACCUUGAAUUGCCUUGAGAAGUGAAGAUGAUAUUUCUUCUCCUUUUCUAAGCUCUUCGUUAUCUAUGAAGGUUUUGAUUCCCUUCUGAACCAAAUAAGUGUACAAAUGGCCAGUGAAGUUGUUUCGUGUAUCACCUCUAAAACUCAAAAAGACAUCGUAUGGACAAGAACGAGUGAGAGGAGAAGAGGAAGGAGUACUUGAAUCCCUACUGAUAACCAGAGUCUUUGGAUCAGAGCCAUCGUACUUCUUCAGCUCCUCCUCGGUGAUCUCGUCGACCUGGACCUGCGGCGGCAGAGGGUGCAUCUCCUCCAAGCUCCUGGGCUGGUGGUGCGUAUCGGCCGGCCCAAAACGCCCAGAAACCAAAAGAUAAGUGGCCACGAGAAGAGCUAAGAGUGAGAAGAAGGUCGCGGAAGAUAGGUCCGUGUGUGCCACGAUUGCCCCCUUCAGUGUUUCCCAGAGUUGCAGAGCCAUUUUAGAGCGAUGUCGUUACCAAGCUUGAAAUGCUGUGUGGUGCACAAUGGAAAGUUGCCGUAGACUUGCUUUAGAAGUUGAGUAGAACCACCAGUCCACCACUUCAGUCUAAUAUUCUCUUUUGCUUGAUUUCAAAAGAGAAAGACACGGUUUUAUCCCAAAAAAAAAAGAAAAAAAGAAGAGAAAGACACGGUUGUCAAUAUUUGAUACGAUAGGACUAAUGAGUGUGAUGUUUGUGACCACAAGACAACUUAUUAAGGAAGAUUACUUGCUGUUUUUGGAUGGAGAUAAAAAGAAAAUUAAAAUGAGAUAAAUUCAUAAUUCAUAAACAUGAAUCUUGUUUGUUAUUUUAAACUUAAAAAUUAUGAACUUCUCAGUGGAAAGUAAAAUGAAGGAUUUGAUUGUAUUAAUCUUACCCUUUUUUUUUUUUGGUUCAAUGGGAAGGGAGAGCCUUCAGAAACUAUGGCAGAAGUACGUACAAGGUUGACAUUGCUGUAUAUGGCCAUGAGCACAGUUAUGCAAGUAAAAAUCCCAUUUACGAGGUACGUACUAGUACAACUUCCAUGCAUUGCUUUUCACAUUACUGUGCUACAUACUUGGGCAUGGAUAUUGUCAUGUUUUGAAUACUUACAGCACUCCCUGACCAAUUGAGUUCGCACCAAAUACUUGGUCCUUGUAUCUCACUAAUUGACCAGAGUCACCAGACGAUCAAUGUAACUUCGUUAUCAAAAUUCAACAGAAAAUAAUUUACAGAGAAAUAUAAAAAUCCAGGUUUUAGAUCGAGAAAAUGGAAUGACAUCGUUUAUAGUCGAGAACACCUGGGAAUUGAGAACGACGAUAACUACGAUUUAGAGUUGGAGCAAUUGGAGUACUAGGUUUAGGCCUUAUGUGGGCUAAAGCCCAAUUCCUUUUUGAAAGAAAAAGAAUUCACGUGGGCUUGGCGGAAAUGGGAUAGGGCUGCGCGGUCCAGGUUUUGUGGGCCUUAGGAGAAGUUCAAUGGGUUUCACAAUUUUUGGGGGAAGACACUAAAUGGGUGACUUUGGAAUUUGGUUCUGAAAUCCCAGCAACUGAGGAUUGGAUUGGAGUAUUUUCUCCCGCCUUUUUUAGGUAAAGUAGUGUUCUUUUCUUGACCUUUUUGCCUAAAUUUGGUUUCAGCUAAUAUUUGGACUUUUUGGUGUGAUUUUAUUAUGGUAUGGUUUUAGUUCUACCUGUCCUCAAGAAAAUCCAAGAGUUUAUCCUCCGUUUUGUGUUCUGCACACGGUUUGUUAAAUUUAGCACUACUUAUUUGCAGUCACCUUGUUUUCUGUACAUUGCUUCGUUUGCUUUAUAAGUGAAAAAGUAUGCAAAUUACUCCAAUCAUGUUUCCUGAGUACAAGGACACCGGAAAAGGCUUCUUAAAGCUUCAGCUAAUCUCUUUCUCGCUGUUUUCUGGUGGUUUGUUGAAUGUAUGCUAAAACUUGGCUUGCAGUGUUUAUGCAGUUGAACUUUUUGGUUUGAUGAAGCUGCAAUCUUGUAAUUCCUUCUUUUGUGUGGUAGCCGAAGGUCGUGGCAAUCUCAAACGUUAUAGCUUUCUCAGACUUUUGAUCAUCAUAGCAUGUGUGGUCUGUAACUUUUUUGUAACCCACUACUGGAAAAUAGCUCUUAGGCAAUGGAAUUAAAAAAUUUUGUUUCCUAAGUGGUACUUAAGCGACGGAAUUUUCUACUUAGGCGACGAAACAGUUUCCAUCUCCUAAGUUGUUCUUAGGAGAUGAAAUAUUUCGAUUUCCUCUCCUAAGAACAACUUAGGAGACGAAAUUUCAUUCCAUCGCUUAAGUACUACUUAGGAGACGGAAUAUUUUUACUUAGACGACGGCAUUUUGAAAAAAUAAAAAUUAAAAAUUUAUAUAAAUCACUUAGGAGACGAAAUUACAUUCCGUAGCCUAAGUAGAACUUAGGAGACAGAACUGUUUACUUAGGAGACGGNNNNNNNNNNNNNNNNNNNNCGCUCUCUCUCUCUCUCUCUCUCUCUCUCUCUCUCUACCAUCACUCUCAUGCCGGCCUCUCUCUCCAUUCUCACCGCUUCUUCCUCCGCUGUCACCUUCAACUGCAUCACCCCCACCAACGCCACCUCCAACUGCCACGCAUUUAUCGACUUCGUCCUCACAAACACCACCACUCUCAACGGGCUCAAGACCCUCUUCAACAUCACCCGGCCACCUCCGCACUCUCCUCAGAGCCAACAACCUCCCCUCUCGACCCGACUCGACUCACCCGUCCCCGCCGCCAGCAAGCUCCUCGACCCCUUCUCUUGCACCAAGCCUCAUAUCUGGGUCACCACAGACGCCGCUACCACCACCUUUCUCUCUCUACCAAGCCUUCCCACCGACCCACCACCGUCCCUCGAAAUUUCAAAGGGGUAAGAAAUCAAGGUAAGUUCUUCAAUUUUUUUGGUUUAAUUAGCAUUGGUGAUAGAUUUAUGUGUUUUUGUUUAAUUUGAUUUUGAUUUUAAUUUUGGUUAGGAUGUGAUUGGUAUGAUGGUGGUGGCAUGGUGAUUAUUUGGUACGGUACGGUGGUGGUAUAUUUGGGGCAGAUUGUUGGUAUAAAAUUGAAAGGGAGAUAAUGUAUAGAAGUUUACUGACCCCCAGUAGAAGUUUACUGAGGGGCAGUAAAUUAACUUCCACUGGGUUUACUAGGGGGCAAUGAGUUUGUUUAUUCGGGUAAAAAUGGGUAUAUGUUGUGUAUAAUUGACAUGAAAUUGAAAAGGAGAUAUUAUAUUGAAUUUUACUGACCCCCAGUAGAAGUUUACUGCCCCCAGUAAACUUCUACUGGGUUCACUAGGGGAUAAUAAAGUUGUUUAUUAUGGUAAGAAUUGGUAUUUGUUUUGUGUUGUGCCCCUGAAAUUGAAAGGGAGUUAUUUUUUGCAAGUUUACUGAUCCCCAGUAGAAGUUUACUGGGGGGCGGUAAAUUUUAUUUUUUCCAUAUGCAGUUUAUAAAUGCAAGUUUUUACUAUUUAUAUAUGCAGGAUGAGAAGAAGUUCAAGACAUUUAGUUGUGACUUUUAAACCUGCGGUGGUGGUGGUAUCUCGGGUGGUCGGAGUGAGUGGAUAAAAAGCCUGCGGUGGCCUUUUUUUUAAAAAAAAAAAAAAUUCAGCCUUUAGCAACGGAAUACAACUAUUCCGUCUCCUAAGUGGAUAAUAUUUUUUUUUAUUAUAAAAUAAAAUCGGUCGCCUAAGUGUUUAAGAAACGAAAGUAUUCAGUCUCCUAAGAACCACUUAGGUGAUAGAAUUUUAGAUUUCGUCGCCUAAGUGUCUACCUCACCACACUUAGGCGACGGAUCUUAGCCAACGGACGUUCCGUCUCCUAAGUACUUAGGAGACGAAAUAAUUCCGUCUCUUAAGUAAUUUUUUUCAGUAGUGACCUUUUUCUAUUAUGAAGAAAAUAAUUCACAUAAAUAUCGAACUGUCUAACUAUUAAAGGGAAGAUAAAUUUAGUGUCUCAUAAUGGUAGAAACAGUUGCUUGUCUAUCAUCUUUGCUGCCAAACAUGUCUGACUAUUCAUAGCACAUACUAUAAGAGCUUAUGAAUUCUCAAAGAUCAAUUGUAUAUAGUUAAUUAGCUCCUCUUAUAUAAUCUGUAGGUUUACAGUCUAUGUUGUCAAUGUACAUGUGCAGGUGUACCUGCAAGAACAGUGGGAUGGCGUGACCCUGGAUUCAUACGCACCAGUUUUCUGAUGGAGUUGUGGCCCAAGGGGAGUGUAGGUUGAAGUUUUGUAUAUGAUUCUCUUAAAAAAUGAGUGAGAUUUAUUGAUACUUACUAACUACAUGAUUUUAUGCAGGUAUACAUACAAGCUGGGACAUAGAUUGUCUAAUGGUACUGUUUCUACAAAGACAUGAUAGAACGUAAAAACACAACAUCAUUUAUAGCGGUUCAUCAUGCCAUCGGAGGGCAUAACUACGUCCACUUGAAUCUACUAUCAUGAGGUCUCAAUGCCUUUGGUGUUACAAGUGUGAGGUAGUGAAGUUGGGAUGGAGUUGGAUCAGUUGAGAUCCUUUCUACAUAUGGGAAGCCUUCUUUUUAUAGCUGAGGAAAGGUUCCCUCACAUUACAUGUUUCCAAUGUGGGACAAGGUGCACAUAUAUCUUCUCAUGGUGUUUUCUUGUGGAGCUUCGAUGAGCACCUUCCCGAUGUGGUAUUGAUGAUCCAUCACCAUAAGGAGGUAACUCGGAUGUCGAUCUACCGAAUAUAUGUCGGGGAUGGGGCCCACCAUGUUAGAAUGGACUUAGCAUUAUAAGUCUUAAGGUAUGACAACUUCUAUAGAAAAACAGAAUGAACAUUGUGAGAUUAUUAAUUGCAUUAUCAUGAUAUGUUUAUCUAAAUGAAAUGGUUAGAUAAACAAUGAAAUACAUUUGAAUUAUCUUGUAUAACAAGAUAAUAGAGAUAGGCUAAUAUUGUGGUAUUUGUGUGGAACUCAAACUCUUUGAUGGUUAAGAGUUUGAGCUAUCCAAAAUGCAGUAUAAAAGGGGUCCCUGUGCACACUCUAACUUACGCCAAAAAUCUAGUCUCUUUCCAUCAGAGCUUUGGUACUUGAGUGCUGCGCAGAAGAUCUCUUUUGGAAGCUCCUACUCACCUCUCUUCAUCUCGAUGGCUGCCCUCAACAUUGAGCAAGGUACUACUUCUGUUCCUUGUGUAUAUAUAUAUCAGUACAUGUACAUAUAUGUUGCUAUAUGUCUGAUGCCAUGAUCUGAUGCUUGUUUCUGUGUUCUUGUUUAUAUAAAUGUGUUUAUGAUAAGUGUUUUGUCUUUAUGGUUUUAGUCUAAUACACCAUUGUCGGAGCACGGCGUAUGAGGUCGUUGAUUAUGCUUGGUGGGAUAAGAUAUUCAUUGUAUUUACAAGUUUCCUGACUGGUCUAUGGGAGAGAAGGUAGUUCCUUACUACCGACUACAGACUACAGGUACAUAUAUAUGGAGUCAAGAGUAUCAGAUUAAAGCAUCUCCUUAUCCUGGUAUUCUUUACAACGUGUAGUCAUUUUCGGUGACAUGGUUUGAACUCCCUUUGGAACAUUUACAUGCUGUAUUCAGAAUCUUGUCCUCCUUUUCAUAACUAUUAACCCCUUUGCGUUCUUCUAAAUAAUUGCUACAUUGUUCAGUGCAAAUGUGGAUUCGCAAACUGUUGUUAUCAAUGGGAAUCACUUUCAUGUAGCUUCUGAUUUGUUCCAUCUACUAUUUCACCAUGCAGGAUGAAGCUGAUGGUUUCAAUGAAUAUAACAGUUUCCAGAGAGGAGUUCUCAACACUACUGAGCGGCUUAUUCUGUACCUGAAAACAUAGAUAGUCUUCCAUAUUGGAGAUAUAUCUUAUGGAAAUGGUUACCUUUCACAGUGCGACCAUUUUACUGCACAGGUUGAGCCAAUAGCAUCAAGUGUUCCUUACAUGAUUGCAAGGUAUCUCAUUAUUUGAUACAGAAUUGAUUGGCAAGAGUUCCUCUUUCUCUACAUUUGGAUUUUUAUUUUGCUUUCAGAGGCAACCAUGAACGCGACUGGCCAGAUCCGGUUCAAUUUAUGGGAACAAUGAUUCAAGAGGAGAAUGCGGUGUGUUGGCUGAAAAUAUGUUCUAUGUUCCCACCAUGAACACGAUAAGUUCUGGUAUGAGAGUCUAUUUGCAUUGUCAUUACAAUUUACAACCCUAAAUUGUUUAUGACCAAGAUUAUCAUGGUCUUAUAAUGCUAUCGAUCCAGGUACUCCACUGACUAUGGCAUGUUUCACUUCUGCAUAGCGGACACAGAACAUGAUUGGAGAGAGGGAACAGAGCAGUACAAGUUCAUUGACCGCUGCUUAGCAUCAGUCGAUAGGCAGAAGCAACCAUGGCUCAUUUUUUUCUUGCACGUCGAGUACGUUCUCGGAUAUUCUUCUUGCAUCUCUUAUGCAGAAGAAGGAUCAUUUAAUGAACCGAUGGCAAGGGAUAGCCUUUUCAGAAGCUAUGGCAAAAGUAAAAGGUUGACUUUGCCAUUUAUGGCCAUGUACAUAACUAUGAAAGAACAUGUCCCAUAUACCAGGUAUAUCUUUCCUCAUUGUGCAAUCACCAUUUACAACCCUCAUUUCCAUUUAAUCUAGAUUUUAGUUGGUUUUAGUGAUGCAAGUGUUAUUAUCCUCAUGGAACAGAAUAUAUGCACAAAUGAACAGAAGCACUACUAUAAGGGCAGCUUGAAUGAAACAAUACAUGUGGUUGCUGGUGGUGCAGGAGCAAGCCUAUCAACUUUUAUAUCCCUUCUAACCAAAUGGAGUAUUUUCAAAGACCAGGACCAUGAAUUUGUCAAGCUCACAGCUUAUGAUCAUUUGAAUUCGUUGUUCUGAGUACAAGAAGAGCAGGGAUGGACAGGUGUAUGACUCUUUCAGAAUAACCAGAGAUUAUAGGGACAUAUUGGCUUGCACAGUUGAUAGUUGACCAAGCACGACGCUGGCGUCAUGAACUGGUUUAAAAGUAAAUACUUGUAACAGCAAUAUUCCAAUGUAUAUGGCUAUAUGCCAAGCAAAAGUGCACAAUUGAGUGACAUAGAACUCGCAAAGUUGAACAUGUGUUUGUACAAAUGAGUCUGAGCUUGGAACAAGUCCCUUGCUUCAUUAGAAUCCAUAAUUUCUCUUCACCUUGAGAAAUGGCUGAGCUUGUAUAUAUAAAAACUUCUGAUUCCAAACAAUCAAGGAAGAAAAGAAAUCUCAACUCUGCAAAAGUCCAUAAGUGCGUUGAUUCCAUUUCUCUGAAGUGUCAAUAAUGACACAUCUUUAAAAUAUUGCUAAUUUUUCCUUCAUUCUUAUCCCUUAUUGUGGUUGUUACUCUCAAUCGAACCCAAGAUCACAAAGUAGGGUCAAUUAUUUUGUGCCACAAAUUAACUACACUGGGUUUAUAGCACCCAAAAACAACCCAAUCAUUCACAGCAAACUACAGCGACAAACAUGUAAGCCCCAAACUCAUCUACUCAGAUUCAAUUCGGAAAUAGGUUUCCAAUUCUUAAAACCCAGAUUGCAAGCACAAGGUUCUAUUGCAUUCAACAACACAUUUCUCCAUCAAGAGUGCAAAAUCAAAAGGCAUAAAACUUAAACACAAUGACUGAUUUCGGAUUCAAAGACAAAAGGCAAGACAUAAAAUUGUGGAAAAUAAGCCACUUUCAUUCAUAACAUAAACCCAUUACAUAACAUUAAGCUUCGGAUCUACAUCUCUAAACAACCAUCAGUACUAAACCCUAACAUUUCAUCGAAACCCUUAAUUCCAAAGACCACUCAAACUGUACUAAACCCUUCAAUUCAAGCUCAAGCACGCUCACCCCUAAUGCGCCUCGCCAGCUGAAUAUCUUUCGGCAUUAUCGUAACCCUCUUGGCAUGGAUGGCACACAGAUUGGUGUCCUCGAAGAGCCCGACGAGGUAAGCCUCCGCCGCCUCCUGCAGCGCGGCCACGGCGGAGCUCUGGAACCUCAGAUCAGUCUUGAAAUCCUGAGCGAUUUCACGGACGAGGCGCUGGAAAGGGAGCUUGCGGAUGAGGAGCUCGGUGCUCUUCUGGUACUUGCGGAUCUCACGGAGCGCGACGGUUCCGGGCCUGAAUCUGUGGGGCUUCUUCACUCCGCCGGUGGCCGGAGCUGACUUUCUGGCGGCCUUGGUGGCCAGCUGCUUGCGUGGGGCCUUGCCUCCGGUGGACUUGCGGGCGGUUUGCUUGGUACGGGCCAUUUGGGGAUUUGAGGAUUUGGGAGAUUUAGAUUUCUAGGGUUCUCAGAGAGAUUGGGAAUUUUGAAAUUGAAAAUUGGUAGUGGGAAUUUGAGUGGGUUUAUAGUGGGAGUGUGGUGGGAGAGAUGUAAUCGGGGCCGUUGGUUUGAUUUGGGAACAGACGGCCGUGGGUGGGUUUGGGUUGUUGUGGUGCGGAUCGGUGACGUGGCGUGUUUGUUCUACGGGUGGGGGAGCGCGGGGUUUAAAAUUUGUGCGGGAAGUGUGGAUUGAGUUUGGCCGUGGAUGUGGUUUGGAAUGGAGGGGUGGAUUUGCUGAGAGUGGUAAAGACGCGGAUCGGUGAUGUGGCGAGUUUGGCGUUGCGAAAUGGAGAUAAAUAUUAUGGUGGGUUAUGGUAUAUGGGCUUUUUCUGUGAUUGUAAUACAAAGCAUGUACUUCGUGAGAUACGCUUUUCACCUAAUGGUAAAAAUUUAAGAUGCAGUGAGUUCUAACACCAAUUCAAAAUGAAUUGGAAGAUAUUCUACUCCAAUCCCUUUUUAAUAUUGGGAUUUCUAAAUGGUUAAACUAAAUUAGAUCAAUUCAAUGACAAAACUAUAAUUAGUUGAGAAAAUUAGAUAAAAACCCAAAAUAGUAGACAUCUUUUAAGAUAAACUCAUACAUAUUUUUUUUAAUUUUACACCCACUCCACAUAAGCAAACUUACCAAAUAGAACAAAUGUCUAUAAUUAAUAUAUUUCUUCAUUUUUCUGUUUCUCUGAUUUGCCCUUCAGAUGGUAGAAAGCCAAAUUUGGUGUCUCUCAAUUUUAGCAUCAAUUUGAAACUCAAUACUGAGCUAAAAUUUAGUUGGAUUUAACUUUAUCAUAGUCAAUUACAUUCUUUAAUUUCUUACAUUGUUAUUACUAAUUACUUGAGUGUGUGUAUAUAUAUAUGUUAUAUACAGAAGUAUGUCAUUUGUAAUAGAAUGAUUCUUUUCAUUCCUAAGCUCACAUUUAGUGUCUCUCUACAUUGCCAAAAAGUGUCUAAUUGUAAGGUAUAUGUUCUUGUUCUUUGAUUAAUUUUCUUCUUUUUAGGUAUAUGAUCAUUUCCCAUCAUGAUCGAGAAAACAUUUUACUCUCAACUACUUACAUUUCUAAUGUACCUAUUAAGUAGGGUAUGAUAUGAUAAUAUACCUAUAAAGAAGAAAUUAAACCCAAAAUUGGGUUUAGGGUAUAGGGUAUAGGGGUUUAGGGUAUAGAGUUUAGGGUAUAGGGUAUAGGGUAUAGGGGUUUAGGGUUUAGGGUUUAGAGUUUUAAAAAUCAAGUUCUUUGACAAAUUAACUAAAAUGGUUUUUCAUCAUAAAAAUCCACAUGUUAAAAUUUGAAUGGAAUGAAGGGCCACAUCAGAAACCAUAUAGUCCUACGGUAAGUCGGUAACACUGUAAAAUUUAUUCAUUUUACUCUUAUAAUAAGAUAUUUUAUUUAUAUUAUAUUCUACCUUAUGUAUAGAUUAAAUAAUGAAUUCCUUUCAUCUAGAUUUUUUCAUAAAAAUAAAGAAAACUACAUGAUUCUUGCAAAUUGAUUGAAAAAUGUUAGUGUUAGAAGAAAAACUCAUAAUCAAAGUAUUUAAGACAGCAUCAAUUAAGCUUAUUUAUUAUGUUUAUAUAUUAUAGUUGAAUGGUGACAAUUGUGUAAAAUUUAAAAAAAAUAGGACAUAAUAUGUAUGAUAAUUGAUACAUUUUAUAUGUCUAUCAAAUAGAAAAAUUAGAUGAGUUUAAUUUAAAACCACUCUUUAAAAUUGGGUGUAUAUGAAAAUCUCUCUAAUUAGUUAAAGAGAGCCUUUAAUUAAUCACGAUUAUAGAUGCUCAAAUGACAUGAUCUUUCAUAGUUAAACUAAGAAAAAUAGAUGAUAUCUUCUGUCUUGUGUCUUCUUUACAGGCGAAGCAGCCCUAGUUGCCAUUUCCCACGAAAAUACAUAAGAGACGAUAUAAUCUUCUAUCAGGUAAUCGCUUCAUGAGCUUCCUCCAAAUCGCCAUAAUCUUUCAAGGAAAUCAAGGUCUCGGAAUAACUGUACAUACCUAGUAGAAAGGUCUUGGCAUAACAAUUGUAUUUUACAGUAUUGAUGGAGCCAGAUCUUAGAUCUAUGAAGAAAAAAGAGGUUUCCGUUAAAUCGUAAUCCAUGAAAAAUAUGCCAUGCUCGCAUUCCCCCCAAAAACCAUAAAGCUGAAAAGGAAAACCGGCUGGUAGUUCGUUACCGUAGUAGUAUCUCACCCAUUGUUUUUCGUCAGAAUCUUUCAACACCCAUACCUCCAUUAUUGUAUCUCCUAUUGACCGAGAAAGCUUUGUCACCGCACUGGCCAAACAUCCUCUUAGAGAAAACAAACGGAUAUUCGAUUCCAACAGAACAAAUGCGGGAGGAGUAGGGGUCCAAUAGAACUCUUCUCUCCUGAAGUCAAAAGAGACUACUCUACGAUCUACUAUUCUACUACGAUCACGUCUUGUUGCUCUAACUCGUAUCGAUGUCAACCAUACCGGCUUGUCGUUUAUGCAGCUUAACUCACAAGGAGGGAGUGAGGAUGUUUGUCGCCACCAGUUUGUGCCCAAUACAAGAACAUGUGUUGUCAUAGAUUUGGUUUCAUCAUGACUACUAACACAUACGAUCUUGUAGGUAUUGGUUUCAUCAUCAAAUCCCAUACCAAACAGAAAAUCGCUCUUUAGUUGGGCAAAACUAGUUUUCGGCAAUCGUUGAAGUCCCAUUUCUCCAAGAGGAUUGACUAACAUGCAAUCUCCAUUAUUGGAUCCCAAGCAAAACAAGUUGCAGAAAACAAAACGCAGAAAGCAACGAGUGGAUGACGAAAUAGUAAUUGAAUGUAAAGGUCCUAGAGGGGGGGUGAAUAUGUCUUUUCUAGAUUUUCGUUAACUUUUAUAUACGAGGAUGGAUAACAAUAACUUGUGCUAUCCCAGAUUCACAGGAUACGAGUUUGCAGAAGAUAAAUUGCAUCAAAUAAAUAAACAACACAAAGAUGAUUUUUACUCACAGAAACCCUGAAUGCAGGGAGAAAAACUACGUGUCUGUAACUAUUGAGAGAGAAAGCUUUCCACUAAGUUGAAGUAACUUCUUACAAGAAUAAUAGUUCUAGUUAUACACUACCACAAUGUUAUCCUUCCUAGUCCCAAACUAGUCUAGACCUAUUUCCUCUCUUGUUUCUAAGUACUUACAACAUGGAACACUUUCAGAAGCCUUGUUCGUGAAUUCAGCUAACCACUAGCAGAUUCAACCUUAAACGCUUCUUGAGUUGGUUGCACUACACAUCUCUCAUGGUAUGCAACGUGAUAUGAGUUGAUGAAAGAAGUUUUGAGUUCAAGCUCUAAGGUUUAUAGUCACGAAGAAGACUUAGAGCAGUAUGAACAAUGCAAGCUAAAACUAGACUCAACAAUGAAAAUGCAAUAAGGCAAUUUUCAACAACCAUUGAGCAAAGCCAAAGCUAUAGAUAUAUAUAUAUAUAUAUAUAUAUAUAUAUGCAGACAAGGCAUCAAAGAUGAUGAAAGCUGACCUCAAUAUGUUUCAGAAAGGUUUUAGACAUAAGUGUUUGGCUACAAUAUCGAAACUGAUGUAACCAAAUGCAGAGUUGACACAAGCAACCUCAAUAAGACAAAGAUACAUUUCCUAAAACAUGAACGAUUCAAAACAUGAAGCAAAGAGGUUUCAAACCCUCUUACUCAGUCCAUUAGUGGACCUUGACACAGCCGAUAGCGACUGGUCUUUGAAUCACACAAAGACUAGCUAUGUAUAGGAUAAUGUAUCAUAAAAUCCAAGCUUGAGCCUUAAGCAUCAAACCAUUUGGUCACGGGUUGGCAUAACAAAAGAUCUCAACCCUUAGACUGGUUUGAGCGCCAAGGCACUUCCCAUAAACUCAGUUGUCCAUUUGAAUUUGAAAAACAGCAAAGACCUAUUAAACUAAUAUGACAGACUCUUUGAAAAUCAGGACAAACAAAAGACUCAACACUAGGAUAACAAGCGAAGCUGCUAACCUCUGUGAAAAACAUAUGAUAUGCACAUGCAUGUUUUACAUGAGACCAUAAGGGAUGUUAGUGACUUCUGCAACUUGUUCUUGUUCAUAUGACAAUAACUCCAAGUGUUUUUCAUGGUAAAAGAUUGCUAAUUAUCCUUAUACCUUCAGCAUGUCUGCCGUUUGUUGAGGCAUUGUCCUUGUAUUUCGGUGACUACAAAACCACUAAUGGAUGAUCGUGAGAGCAACAAAUAAGUCGAGGUACGUACUUGAUCAGCCGUAUGUGAACGUGUGUGAAGUGUAGAGAAGGAGAUGGUGUUCACCAUGUUUAACAAGGUCUUGGACACACAUUUUAUGCAACCUAUUGACAGUCUCAAAAGGAUAUCGACUAGUGUAUCAACCGGUAGCUCCAUGAGCUGAUUUUUCUUUGCAUCCCACUACUGCUUCUUUGUCUCUUCCUCGCCAUCAUAUCUCCAACAUAUUUUGUAUCCCCGAAUUUCUUUCAGUUCUGUUCCAACCCUGCACUCCUUUUAUAAUGCAUAUAUAUAUAUAUAUAUAUAUAUAUAUAUCUCACCUAUUUCGAUUUGGAGAGGAAAUCUAAAUCCUAAACUGAUCUGUGGAAAGGUAUUCUGUGACUUUGUUUGACUAAGAGAUGGAAGCAGGAUGAGGUACUUCAGACCUAUAGUUGCAUGACUGUUGAAUAGUAAAAAAAUAAUUAUUAUUAGAGACCAUACAAGAUUGCACAAAUGAGAAACUACAAACUUCACUGAGAACAUAUAGAGGGGAAAACAAAAUCGACACAGUGCAUUUUAGGCAUUAAUGCUCUGGUAUUCUGAUUCAAGACACAACUCAUUUCUGGAUUCAUAUUGUGAGGAUAUAUACACUAACUUCACAGAGCAGGCACAACAGGUGAUCAUUAUGCUUUUUAGUAUCUCGUACAUGGUUUACAAGCAGAGCUUCUCUUUACUCCUACAAAGACAUAAAUCGAUGCCUUCUAAUACAUGUAAGAACAAACACUCACCCACUGUACAAAUGGCUCUUUACAACAAUGACGCCAAAACUCCAAGUGUCAGUUAUGCACAGGCACUCAAAAUGCUGGCAAUGACAAAUUGGUCAGGUUAGAUCCCUGCAUCCAUCAUCUCACAGAAAACUUUAAGUGGUUUUAUUAGAGCCCUUUUGUGCAUAGCUUUUGACCAUGGAGGUCCAAGAGAUAACAUCCUUCUCUGCAUAUGCCUAAACAACUCAACUGCAUAUUUUAUUUCCCUGUAAUCGAAAAAAUAAAAAAAUAAAAAAUAGCACAUUGCCUACAAAGCUGAUAAAUCUAAUAUUCAGUCUGAACUAUCAGACAAUGAAUAUCCACUGCGUUUUUAACCUCUUCCAGCGCAGCAAAUGAGUCCAGAACAAAUUGACAUUUACAAUCAUCCACAUAUUUUCAGCGUUCGCUGUAUUCUAACUAUGUAAUCAUUGUGUUGUAAUGUGUUCCCCUUUCAUCAUUUCAGGUUUUCAACCUUUUUGUUGGAGGAACAUCUUCAGCUGUGCAACCACCCAUGUCAGGAGCAGCGUCGCCUUCGUACAUCUUUGCCAUGAUGGAAGUGUGGAUGCCUUCGACCUCCUUCACCUCGUCAUCAUAGUCUUCGGCCUUAGCAAGCUGAUUGCCAUCUAGCCAUUGAAAAGCUUGCUCGAUUGCAUCUCCAAUCUUCUUCUUGUUCCCUGCGUCAAGCUUGGCAGCAAUGUUUCUGAUGGUGUUACUCAUGAUAAUUGCAUAGUUCUCCAAGGCAUUCUUCGAUUCCACCUUCUUCUUGAGCUCCUUGUCCUCUGACUUGUACCUCUCUGCUUCUUGAACCAUCUUCUCAAUUCGCUCCUUGGACAGUCUGCCCUUAUCAUCACUGACGGUGAUCUGGGUCUUCUAGCCAGUAGUCUCCUCAAUAGACACAUUAAGAAUGUCGUCACAGUUGAUUUCAAAAAGGACGUACAGUGACCUGAGGUACUCCCCUUGGUGCUGUAGGAAUGCCUGAAAGCACAAACUUACUGAGUAGACUGUUAUCAAAGGUCGUUCGACUCUCGCCCUUAAACACUUGGAUCACAUUGUCCAAGUAGGUAGAUAAAACCUAGUGUGGGAUCCAACGAUUCCUAGGGAUGAGCACAGUCAUCUUACCCUUAGCCUUCUCCAAACCCAAGGACAGAGGAGUGACAUCUAGAAGCAAUACGUCCCUCAACUUCUCGUCCUCACCACUCAAAACUGCAGCCUGCACUACGGCUCCAUAAGCAACAGCUUCCUCAGGGUUAAUGCUUUUGCACAGUUCCUUUCCAUCGAAGAAGUCUUGCAACAAUUGCUGCACUAUAGGAAUCCCAGUAGAUCCACCAACGAGGACAAUCUCAGCGACCUUUUCCUUCUUUAUGUUUGCAGCUCUCAAACACUUUAUAACAGGCUUUAGACACUUGUUGAACAAGUCCUUGUUCAUUUCUUCAAAUUUGGUGCGUGUAAUGGAUGAUGAGAAGUUGACACCCUCAAAUAGAGAGUCGAUCUCAAUGGAAGUCAAAGCAGUGGACGAUAGAGUCCUCUUUGCUCGCUCACAAGCUGUCCACAACCUCCUAAGAGCUCUUGGGCUUUGACUGAUGUCUUUUUUGUUCUUCCUCUUGAACUCCUAAACAAACUGAUUCACCAUCCUGUUAUUCAAAUCUUCAUCGCCCAAAUAGGUAUCUCCAGUAGUAGCCAGGCCCAGCCAUGUGGGCAAGACGGACCAGGCUUGAGUCCAGGGCCUCAAAAUUUAGGGGCCUCAAAUUUUUUUUAUAUAGGCCUGAAAAAAAAAAGAUAGAAUAAGAGUAGAAGACCUGUGCGUCUCUUACGCUUUCUUUUCAGUUCUCGCGCACAUCCAAAACAAUACAGAAGAAGAAGAUCGCGACUCUUCAGUCCAAAAAAAAAAAAAAAGAUCGCGUCUCAGAAGAAAUCGUAGAAAAGAGAAGACAAACCUCCAAAUCUUUGAUUGAAAGGAAUUAAGGAAAACAUCAAUUCUUAAGCUAAAACGGUACGUUCUUUUACCCUUUCAUCUCUAUUCUCUAAAGCUAUUUCCUUUCUAUUUUAAAGAAAUUGUGAUUUUCCUUUAGUCCUUAAUGGCUUAGUAUGAUAAUCUCUUAUCUAUUUUGUUUUUUUAUUUGAUUUGUUGAACAUUGAAUAUAAAUAUAUGAUGAUAUUGAAUUUGAAGCUUCACAUAAUGACAUCCUCUUUGAAUUGUUUGUAUAUGUUUGGACGUAUGAUAUCUAGAUAUUGAAAAACACAUAUUCUUUGAUUUCGUAUUGAUGUCCAGAUUUUUGUAAAACACAGUAUUUUAUUAUGGCUCAUAGUAGAAAGUUCAAGUCCGGGGCUCAAAAAAGAAAAGAGAAAAAGAGGAUAGAAGUUGUACAUAAACCUCUAGUUGGUUCUAUUAAUAAGUAUUUAGUACCAAGAGAAAAAGAAUCAAAGCAUGACGGUGAAUGAUCAUGAUGUUGAAGAGGCAAAGAUUGAGGAAAAUAGUGAUCAUGAUGUUGAAGAGGAAGAGAUUGAGAAAAAUAGUGAUCAUGAUGUUGAAGAGGCAGAGAUUGAGGUCAAUAAUGAUCAUGAUGAUGUUGAAGAGGUAGAGAUUGAGGUAAAUAGUGAUCAUGAUGUUGAAGAGGUAGAGAUUGAGGAAAAUAUUGAAGAUGUUCACAGUAUAGAGCCAAAUCAGUCAGUAGGGGAAAAUAAUGAUAUUAUCAAUGAAGAAAGUCACACUUCCAAUUCAAGAGAAGAAGUUCUGUUUGACAUGGUUGAUCUAGGGAAUUAGAAUAAGACAAACCAAAAUAUUACAGAUUUUUUGGUUGAAAGAGGCCCCAAAAGAGUCAAUAAUGUAAUCCUUCCGAAAGAUAAAUGUGAGAGGUCUUUUUCGUUAAGUCAUUACUUCAAGGAAUUACCAAAUGGAGAGAAACAAGAUAGAAAGCGGUUGGUAUAUUCGGUUUCUUUGGAUAAAAUCUUUGCUUCUAUUGUAAAUUGUUUGCAAAGAAGCAUCUUGUGGGGCAACUAGCUGAUGAAGGCAUGAAUGAUUGACACAACUGUAAUGAUCGACUUAAAAGUCAUAAAUGAAAUAGGUAUCACAUUGCGGCAAUGAAAAGUUGGAUAGAGUUGGCAAAAAGGUUGAAAAUAAAGUUAACAAUUGAUACAAGCGUCUGCAAGAACAGAUCAAUCAAGAAAAAGAACACUGGAAACAAGUAUUAGAAAGAAUUCUUGCAGUUGUGAAAAGACUUGCGAAAAAUAAUUUAGCUUUUCGUGGAGAUAAUGAAAAGCUAUAUGAGGAGAAUAAUGGUCUUUUCUUACAGAUGAUAGAACUGCUUGCUGAAGUUGAUCUGAGUAUAAAAAAAACAUGUUGGACGUAUUAAAUAAGGUGAGGUUCAGUAUCAUUAUUUGAGUCACAAAAUUCAAAAUGAAAUUAUUUAAUUGUUGGCAUGUGAGGUGAAAAGCUCAAUUAUCAGCAGAAUCAAAGAAGCCAAAUAUUUUUCAGUUAUUCUUGACUGUACUCCAGAUGCAAGUUGAGGAACAAAUGUCUCUUGUAAUAAGAAUUGUCAAUGUUUCGGCUACUUUAGUUGUGGUUGAAGAAUAUUUUUUAGGCUUCUUGAAGGUUGCUGACACAUCAGGUCUUGGACUACUUAAUGAACUUCUAAAUGAAUUGAAGACUCUUGGACUUGAUGUAAGUGAUAUGAGAGGACAAGGGUACCGUAUGACAAUGGAUCUAACAUGAAAGGUAAAAAUAAAGGUGUGCAAAGUAGACUACUUGAAAUAAAUCUAAGAGCAUUUUACACACCUUGUGCUUGUCAUUCUCUAAACCUUGUGCUUUUUGAUAUGGCUCAUUGUUGUCCCAAAGCUGAGUCUUUCUUUGGUGUAGUGCAACGAUUAUACUGUUUGUUUACAGCUUCUACAAAAAGAUGGCAGGUUUCUAAAAAGCAUGUGAUAGGUCUCACUUUAAAACCAUUAUCAGAAACUCAUUGGGAAAGUCGUGUGGAGAGUAUUAAAGCAAUAAGGUAUCAAACUCCACAAAUAAGAUAGGUUUAGAUGCAUAUUGUGAACAACAAAAAAGAAGAUGCCAAGGCAAAAAGUGAUGUUGAUGCUUUGGCAAAAUAUAAUCUUCAAAAUUUUGAGUUCUUGUUGGGAAUGAUUAUAUGGUAUGAGUUGUUAUAUGUGGUUAACAACGUCAGCAAUGUUCUGCAAACUAAAGAUAUGCAUAUUGAUACAGCCAUCAAAGAAUUGGAACGUCUUCUUUCUUUUCUUCAAAAGUUCAAAGAAACCAGGUUUGAGGAAUCUUUGAUUGAAGCUAAAGAGAUUGCAAGUGAGAUGGAGAUUGAACUGAUAUUCAUGGAAAAACGGACAAUUCACAUAAAAAGACAAUUUGAUGAAAACUCUACUGAAGGGGUGAUACAAUUAGCUACAGAAUCCUUCAAAACUAACUACUUUCUCUACAUAGUUGAUCAAGCUAUUUCUUCAUUCAAAACCAGAUUAGAACUAUAUACAUUAUAUUUAAUUUUUAGUUAAGGAGCAUGAUAUUUAUAUAAGUUAUUGAUUUUUUAUUUUUUUAAACCAGGUUUGAACAAUUUAAGACAUAUGAAGAAAAUUUUGGACUUUUGUUUGAUUUGGAUCAGUUAAGGUUUGCUGAUAGAGAUACAUUGAAGAGCUUUUGUGCUAAGCUCCUAAAUAUAUUGAAGCAUGGCGAGAUUUCUGAUCUUAAUGAGGAUGACUUAUUUCAUGACUUGCGAAUGUUAUGUCAAGAUUUACCCAUUGAAACAAAAAAAGCAAUAUAUGUGUUGAAUUAUAUAAAAGAUGUGGAUGGUUGCUAUCCACAUGCUUCGAUUGCUUAUAGGAUUCUGCUAACCAUACCAGUCACAGUUGCCUCUGCAGAAAGAAGUUUUUCAAAGUUGAAAUUGAUCAAAACUUACCUUCGGUCUACUAUGUCACAAGAAAGAUUGAGUGGUUUGGCUAUGAUAUCUAUAGAAAAAGACAUAGUUGAAAAACUUGAUUAUGCAAAUUUGAUUAGUACCUUUGCAUCUAAAAAUGCAAGGCGAAUUAUAUUUCAGUGAUACUUUUAUAUUGUGGUAUGAUUUUUUGUGUAAUAUUUUUUUUUNNNNNNNNNNNNNNNNNNNNAAUAUAUUCUCGCCUUGAGCCUUUAUAGAGCCUUUAUGGACACAGGGCCGGCCCUGGUGGUAGCCACCAUUUGGAAACUCUUUCUUCAAUACAAAGUAUAGUGACAUCCAAAGUCCCCCCGCCAAGAUCAAAAACUAAUACAGUCUUUUCACACGAACUGGUGGCCCUCCUGUCCAAACCAUAUGCAAUGGCCACGGCAGAAGCCUCAUUCAAUAUACACAGCACAUGCAGGCCAACAAUGACCCCAACAUCAUUUCUAGCCUACCUUUGAGAAUCAUUAAAGUAAGACGCCACUGUAAUAACUGCAUUUGUCACCUUUUUACCAAGAUAUGACUCUGCAAUCUGUUUCAUCUUAAGGAGAACUAUAGCUGAUAUUUCUUCUGCAGAAAAAUGCUUCUCUUCGCCUUUGUAGGAGAUAACAAUCAUAGGCUUGUCGCCAAGGCCGGCAACAACCUUGAACAAAUGGGUCACUGAAUCUCCUCCCUAUUAAGCGCUUUGCAUCUGCAAUCCGGGAAAUACCAUUUAAUACAUAGUCAACAACCAUGAAUCAUGUAAACCUAGCUAGUCUUAGUAAAAUUUAAACCUUAAUCAACGAUUGUUAUCACUGUAAUAUUGAACUAUUAGAACCAAACUCAAGACACAGUGGGCGAGGUGUCUGGUAUCAACAUAAUAAGACAUGAUGACUGUAUAUCCAUCAUUACCCUCUUCCACAACAAACUAAGAACCAAAUGCCAAUCAAUUUUGCUUGAGAAGACCUUUCUAUAAAAAGCAAAGUAAGUAACAAAGAAAGUGCAUUGCCUUCCCAAAGUGUCAAAAGGCUUCAAGCACACUGACUACUAGAGCAACAUCGAAUAUACAGUAUUCAAACACCAACAUGAAUCUAGAUAGUAGGAUUGCCACACAAUAUCAACGUACCAUCUCCCUCACACUAAAUUCAUUCAAGUCUAGAACUCGGGAUAAGCUGAACUUCUAAUAUUAGAGACAAAUUGACAGGACCUAUUCAUGAGAAGAAAAAACCAGCAAUAAAGAAGAUGCAUUUCUCUUCAUAACAUGCAACACUUGCUAAUUUUUUCAUUUCUUUUGAAGUGUUCAAGUUAAACAUCCUACAAAGUACGCCUAACCCAAAUUCCAGAACAAACAGUUAAAAUUACCAAACCGAUUUUACUAUAGCUAACAAAACCCAAGGGUUUAGGGUUUACCUAAUCUAACAAAACCCUAAGCAAUAACCUAAUCAACGUACCAAUAUCAGAACGAUUAAGCAUAAGGAAAUGAGAAAAGCUUUUAAAAAAGAAGAAGAAAAAUUUGAGAAUCUUACCAAAAACAGUGUUUGCAGCGUUCUUGGCGACCUGACUAUUGGUAGUGUCGCCGAUCAAACACCCUAUGUUGGUGAAGGCCACAUAGGACGGCGUCGUACGGUUCCCUUGAUCAUCGGGGAUGAUCUCGACGCCAUCGUGCUGCCACACUCCAACGCAGCUAUAAGUAGUGCUGAGAUCGAUUCUGAUCGCUGGCCUUUCUUCUCCGGCAAUUGCACCGGCCAUUUUAGUAGCUCAAACGUUUCACACAGACUAAAGAUCAAAUCUUUAGGGUUUUGAUUGUGUAGAGAAGAAAGAUUUCGAAGGGUCUUGCGGUGUAAGGAUUUGGGAUUUUUUUUUUUUUUUUUCCAUCUGGUUUUGAGAAGGAGAAUUUGGGAAUACAAAUUAAAGAGAGAGUUUUGGAAGGAGCAUCUAGAAUAGGAAAGAGAAGUAAUCGGAGCUGUUAGUUUGAUUAAGGGAAAGACCAAGGUUCCAAAAAAACAUUGGGUACGUGCUAGUUGGGCGGACGACGCCCAAAAGAUUAAUUGAGGAUUAAUCGGGGAUUAAUCGGAUUUGUAUUUUUGUAUUUAUUUUAUUUUUAAUAACAAUAAUUAUAUAAAUACAAUUAAAAUAAGUAUUAUAAUGUCUUAGUACCUUUAAUGUCUGUCCUUAAAAAUAUACUAGCAACAAUGUUCCUAGGAAAAUAAGAAAUAUAAUUCAGCAUUUCAACAACAAUGUCGUUGAAGCAAGUAAGAAACACAAUUAAACAACAAUGUCCUUAAGAAAAUCCGAAAAUAAAAACACAAAUCACCAACUAGGCAAAAAUGUUCAAAUACAAUUCAAACAAAGAAAAUACAUUCUUGAUUUGAAUUGUAUUUGGACAUUGUGGCCUAGUUGGUGAUUUGUGUUUUCUAUUUUCGGAUUUUUCUAAGGAACUAGAGAGAGAAAGUAGAUCUGAACUGUACUCCCCCUUCUCUCUUGCUCUGGUCUAGGUCCUUUCGGGUCUAGAUCUCCAGCUUGAGAGUCGGAGGAGUGUGAUCUUGUUCGGGCUUCUAGUCCCAGUGCCCACGUCUUUGUUUGCGGUUUGUUUUUCCUUCCCGUUCACAAAAACAUCUACAUCCAUGGCUGCCAAAGUUCUCAUUUCAAUCCUCCCAUCUCUUCUCUUCUCUCUUUUUUUCAACCCAUUCCACCUCAAUCCCCAAAACCUUCCUCUCUCCUCUGCUAGUUGUAGUAAGCUCCACCCCUCUGUUGCCGCUAGAGUAACGUCCCCGAAACCGGCUUUGAACGGUGUUUUGGAUGCUAGAACGACCCUGUCUUUUUCAAAGACAGAUGAGUGGGGAGAUUCCUCGAGAUUCCACCAUGGGUGCCGGUGCGAAGGUUCGCAGCUUCAAGGCAGCAAGCAAAGAAAAGAGGACGGCGCGGAUCCACUGCAAAAAACCCCUUCGACGACGGCGGCUGUUUUUCCAACAGAGUUGGUGAUGCAUUUGUGAUAUUAAGGUUGGGCCUUGUGUUUAGGCUUUUGUUUGUUGGUCUUGAUAUUUUGGACCUUAUGUUUUACAUUAUGCUUGUACCCCUUCGUGAGUUUUCCCUUAGUGGGUCUGUUUGUAUUAAUCUGGGCUAGUUGCCUUUAUUUAAUACGGUUCUCUAUUUUAAUAAAAAAUAAUAAUACAUUCUUGCAAGCCUACUCCUCUAAUUCUUUUUCUCCACAUCCUUCAAAUACUUUUUCGGUAUCGGAGUCAAACUCAAAAUCCAUAGUUUCUUCUUCCUCUUCAUAUGAAUCCAUGGUUUUCACUUUUCAAAAAAAAAAAGAAGUUUUUGGCCACCUAGGAGCCCACCUAGCCGCCUAGGCUCCCGCCCAAGCGGCCAAAAAGCGGCCGACCACCUACACUCGUCGAUUUGCUGAAAAUCGGGACGGCAACCCUUCUCUGAGCGCCUAGGCGGCCGCCUAGGCCUUUUUUUAGAACCUUGGGAAAGGCGGUUGUGGCUGUUUUGGUGCAGAUCGAUGACGUGGUGUGUUUGUUUUGACCGUGGAUGCGUUUGGAAUGGAGGGGUGGGAUUUGUUGAGAGUUAGACACAGAUCGGUGACGUGGCGGAUUUGGCGUUGGGAAACAGGAUGGUUAUGGUAUGGGCUUUUUUCUGUGAUUGUAAUACAUUAGCAUGUACAUCGUGAGAAGGGCUUUUCACCUAUUGGUAGAAAUUUGUGAUGUAGUGAGUUCUAACUCCAAUUCAAAGUGAAUUGGAAGAUUUUCCACUCCAAUUUAUUAUUUGAUAUGGGUUGUGGUUAAACUGAACUAGAUCAAUUCAAACAGACGAGCCGAAUAUGUCCUACAUGAUCUACAUGAUCCGUUUGUAUUUAAAAUUAAUUAAUCAGGAUUACACAUACUCAAAUGACAUAGCCUACAAAAACUUAUGUUGUCGUGUAUAUCCUUUAGGGCAUGUUUGCUAACCUGAAAUGGAAUUGAGAGUGGUAUAAUUGAUUCCGGAAUGGGUGAAUUCCAGCGUUUACUAACAUGUAAAGGUAUUGGAAUGGAUGUGGGUCUCAGUUGCUUAUCAGGAAUUGAUUCCUGACGAAACCCCUUAUUCGAUACCCAAGGGGGGAGGUGGGUAUCAGAAUCAAGGUAAUGGAAUCAACUUUUUCUCUCUAAAAUAUCCUCACAUAAUUAUAAUAUUUCUAAAUUACCCAACCCCAUAUAUAUAUAUAUAUAUAUAGUUCUUAUCCAGAGUGAAGUUUCGCUCUGAAAUUAAAGUGUGAAGUUCCUUAUUUGACUCAUUUUACGGUCAUAUUUCGACAUCUCCACCGUUCUGUUUAUUGAUAUUAAUGCAUAGAUCAUUCUUGCAAAAUUUCAUUCAAAUUGAUGAUCGUUUAGAUACCGAAUUAGGAUAAAUCAAUGAACGGACCAUAAACUUGUCUGAUUAGAACUGUUUGUGUAAAUCACGAUUAUGAACACUCAAACGAUUUUCAAAUUCGAUGAAACUUUGUAGAAGUGAUCUAUGCAUUUGAUUCUACAAACUGAAUGGUAGAGAUGUCGAAAUAUGACCGAAAAGUGAGUCAAAUAAGGAACUUCACACUUUAAUUUNNNNNNNNNNNNNNNNNNNNUAUAUAUAUAUAUAUAUAUAUAUAUAUAUAUAUAUAUGGAAGAGAAGACGACAAAAUAUUGUUAGAUCAGAAAACAACGACGACAAAAUAGAAAAGAAGACAGCGCACUCCAGGGUCAGUUUCUCUCUUCCAUGGUGAUCGAUAAGCUUCUUUGUUUUUGUUGUUUUUGUUUAUCGUCUCCUCUCUGUUUCGUUCGGUUUUAUUUCAUUCAUGAGUGUUCAUAUAUGUGCUACAAAACUUUGAACACAUGCACUUGAGUCAACCAAUAUAUAUGGUUUAGGUGGUCUGAUGAAUAUAUCAUCCAAGAAUUUUUACAUCGUUGAAAACAAGAACAAUAAAAUUGCAAACAUCUCCCUUCCAUUCUUGUAUGGGUAUUUUAGUAAUCAAACUAGUUUUAAUUCUGAUUCUAUAUAGUAAGUAAACAACAUCAAUCAUAAUUUAGUUUCAUUCAUGUUUUGAUUUCUUACGGUAAGUAAACAGUAUAAUGAAAUGAAAUAUUCUGAUAGUGAUUCUUGUUGAUACCGAUUCUUAUUAAUACCAAUUCAUGAUAAGUUUCAUUCCAAGUUAAUAAACGUGCCUUAGUUUCUUUCAAAGGUAUGAGUGUCGGAGUACUGAUGUUGGUGUUGCUCUGCCAACUUGACUAUUUCUUAUAUACUCUCAUGGUCGUUCUCAACCUAACAUACUAUCGAGAGACAAGAGUUGAGUUCUAUAUUUUAAUCGUUAGAUGAUUCGUCACACGUGCUACAUCAGACACAAGGACGGAUACAAGUCUAGGGCUAUAUAGGCCCAAGCUCAAAGAGAAAUUUGGGCCAAAUUAAAAGAGACAAGAGUUGAGUUUUAUAUUUUAAUCGUUGGAUGGUUGAUGGUUCGCCACCCGUGUUGGCAGGGCCAUAUUGCAAUAGCACAAGUCUUUUUCUGUUUCUCUUUAAAUUUAUAUAAAGUUGAGCUUUGCUAGAGCCACCAUCAGCUGCCAAAUUCAGCCACCACCUUGUCCAGCUCUCAGCCACCGCCUCGCCGCGUUUUCAAUGUCGCCAAUGGCAUGCAGACAAACUCCAAAUUGGUAUUGAGCUCGUUCAUAACCACCUUCUCCGGCUCUCAUAAAAUUGAUGAGGCAGUUGACAAAUUCAUAUACUACUCUAUGAUGUGGAUAAGGGUUUCAAAGCAAUGCCAUCUUCACUCCAUGAGAUCAGUGACAUUGUGGACAGUUUGACCGCUAGCUAGAUGACACUACAUGCAGAAUACCAUAUCAAACUACAAAACCUCAUGGUGCAUGUCACCUAUAUCAUCAUUUGAUUCCAUUAAGAAGUCGCAUUGAUCCAAAUGUUGCUUAUACCAAUUCCUCAGUUAUUUCUCCAGGACUAUAUCCAAGACACAGACGGCCGUGCUACUCUGCUACAUCAGGACGACUAUGUCUGAAAUACACACAUAAACACAUGCUUAUUACAAACUGAAAUUAGAAGAUGGACCAGAUGAAUAGCUAGAUGUAUCAAGUGCACAAUAAACACGUAUACUCGAUAUAAAAGAUGAAAUAGAGUUACUUGAAUCCUAUGUCAUACUUGUUGGCGAGGCCAUUCGAAAACAAGUCCUUGAUCGAAUACUUUCUUUUGGUUUGGUACUGCAAACUAGCUUAUUGGUGAUAAGGUACAUAAUGUUGAGCUUUACUAUGGCCACGAUCAGCUGCUAACUUCAUCCACUUUCUUGCUCGGCUAUCACACUGAACCAACCCUUCCCCAUGCUCGUAGCACGGGACACAUUAUACAUAGCACGUACAUAACCACCUUCUGCAGCUCUCAGCCACCGCCUCCCCGCGUUUUCAACAUCGCCAAUGUGACGCAGACAAACUCCAAGUUGGUAUUGAGCUCGGGCAUUGUCUUGUAAACAAGGCAAAGAUAACCACUUCACAGCUUCCUCUAAAAUUGGUGGUUGAACUUCCAUACAUGCUAUUCCCAAAUUGCACUGCGCAUUCCGGUUUCCGAGCUCCGCAGCUCUCCGAUACCAACCUAAUGCCUUGUCAGCUUCGCCUCUCUCCCAAUAUAUCUUUCUGGCAUCCACCCUACCCUCUGGUGCUCCGAGCUCCGCAGCCACCAAGAACAUCGUGAGAGCAUUGUCUAAACUACGUAGAAAGCCACCAAGGCCGUGCUUGAACUGCUUUCCCAAACUCAUGGCCUUCGUGAUCUCCAUGCACUUUACGUACUUUUCGUCCUCUAUCACCGGCCGAAGCGCGUCGCGCCACCACUUGCACACCGACGACGCCCUUAUCAGUCUCCGGUAGGCUUUGUGACUCUCAGCUCCGUAGAUGAGCGAGGCCCCGAUUUUUGGCAAUUAGGUCUUGAGGCAGAUCCGAGACCCCUUUUGGCUGGUUUGGAGAAUCGAUUGCUGUGCUUGUAGAUUCUGUGAUGGAGUUUGCCUCCCUGCUUAGUGUUCAAUCGACCUUGCUUCCUCAUUCCGGAUGGUUUUGCUGAUGUAUGGUUCUAGGGUUUUACUUAAUUUGUAGAGCACUUAAGCACGUUGGACUUUCAAUGUUAUACACACACAUAACCCGAACCAAGUUUGAUUGGGAAAAGGUAUCAAACCUAGAAAAUAUAUCGACUAAACAAAAAUCAAGCAUUCGAUACCAUUCCUCCUCUAACUAGGAAAAUGUUCCAUCGAUCACUUUAUUGUGGGAAACCAGAUUUUAGUGUAGUAAUAAUUAGAUAGGAUUUGAAUAUACACAAAUCACAAACCAUGCUGGUUUACGACAAAGUCUACCAUGGUGGUGUAGGAAAUAGGAGUUUAGGACCAAAGCAGAACGUGCACAAAAAAAGAAAAAAAAGGAGUAAAUGCUUGUGACACCCUGUAGUUUAUAUCUAAAAUCAGUUUUGUCCCUCACUUUUUUUUUAAACUGGUAUACCCCUAUACUUUGAAUUUUUGACUGAUUUGCCCUUGUCGUCAAUUGACCGUUAAAGAAGACUGUUAAGUUGCUGAGAUGACCGGUUCUGCGAUUCCAACUCAGCUAGAAACCUGCAACAUCGACAUAAUAUGUCCAAUAUACCCUUGACUCUAGUGACUUUUAAAACCAAGAACUAACCAGCUUUGUGAGACGAGCUCGAUGCUCUCCAGCUUUGCAGGUCCUUCGGCAAGCCUCACCGGUGGCGCUGACGAAGAGGCCUUCGUUGUCGUGGCCGUAGCCGAGGGCGACUUUGGGGACUUUGGAGCGGCGGAAGGUGAGGGUUUCGGUGGAGAAGUCGCCGAAGGUGAGGAACCGUCGCUGUAGGAGACUUAGUAGAGGUAGGUUUUGGACUUUGAGCUGCAGCCGGGGGAGUCGAGGUGGCAGCAGAGAGGGGAGGGGCAAGGGAGGGAGGAGAAGGAGGAGGAUUUUCUCGGGUCGAAAACCGGGUCUGUUUGGGAGUAGCAGUGUUUACAAGAGGCGCAUUGGAACCAGACGACAUCGGAGCCGGUGUCGAGGACCAUGUAAAGGUAUUUUGGGGGAGAGCCGAUGCCGAUGCGGGUGAAGUACUCUCCGCUGCCUUGGGAGAGGCCGGAGACGAUGGAGGAGCUGAACCCGGAGGAGGGUGGGCCGGGUCGGGUGCGGUUGUAGGCGAGAGAGGUGAGAGAGUUGAAGCGGAGGGAGUCGCGGCGGAGGCGGAGGUGGAAGAGUUGGGAGGGGGUUUGGUUGGAGGAGAGGGCGUCGAGGUGGUGGAGAGGGAGGGAGAGGGAAGAUGGGUCGGAGUCGGGUUCAGAUGUUUCUGAAAAGGAUUCUGGUUGGGAGAGAGAGGGGGUGGAGGGGAGGGGGGAGAGGAGGAGGGUGUGGUGGUCAAGGGUGGCGGAGGAGAGGGAGAGGAGGAGAGUGAAAAAGAAGAGAUGAGGGGUCUUCUUCUCCUCCAUUUUGUUUGGGCAGUGGGGAAGUGGGGAGAUGAAGGAGAAGAAGUGGGAGAGAGAGUGAGGGGCCGGAGAUGAUGGAGAAGCUGAAGCCGGAGGAGGAUGGGCCAUUGGAGAAUUGGAUCUGAUCUCUUCUACUUGCAGAACUGAGGUUAGGAAACUGGGUUUAGUGGCUAAGUUUCGAUCUGGGGUUUUGUUUUGGUGGACUGAUUUAGAAGUCGAUGAUUCAAAAUGGGUUUGGAAUUGCUCUGUGGGUAAAAUUGUCAUCUCAAUACCUUGGUCUCAUACAUGUGUCAACAUGUUAGCCACGCUAGUUACAUAACGGGUUCAAUUGACGAUAAGGGCAAAUCAGUCGAGAAUUCAAAAUAUAGGGGUAUACCAGUUUAAAAAAAAAGUGAGGGACAAAACUGAUUUUAGGUGUAAACUACAAGAUGUCACAAGUAUUUACUCCAAAAAAAAAGACAUUAUAAUGGCAAAACCUCAGCAAGUGAACAAACAAGGUCGUGAUAUAUGCAGAGUUCAUUACAAAGAGAACAAUUUUAUUUGGCUAUCUUCUACUGCUAAUCAAGUUCACCGGAGUUAUAGCUGUAUAUUGAAGUUUACCUUAGUAAAUAUGGUUGGCAUUUUACCGCCGCCGUAUGUGCCAAAAUGAAUUAUAUAAGAGUGCAGUCACAAUGAAACAUUUGCUUGGUUGCCUUCUGUACAAUGUUAAGACUAGUGAGUGGUGACUCAGACUGGUAGCCGAAACUAACUGCGUUGUCUUGCCAUGGAGUAAUGACUAGGGAGAGACCCGAGCACCACCUUACCUCCCUCUCUAGCAUUGCCUUCGAGGGUUUAGUUCAUGCUGUUACUUUGUCCAUCUAAAACGAAAGAGAUGGAAAAAGAAAGCUCAUACAACCUAAAACAUCGAAUGCGUAUAUAGAAAAGUACAUGAAACUCAACUCAAUAUCAGCCAGUAAUGUCAAAAACAUCCGAUUAAAAACCAAGAAUGCUUGAAAUACAAUGUCCUCCAUUUGCAUAUUUGAUAUUCCAGUGGGGAAAGAAGCCAGGCGCCAUGUUCAGACAAUUAUAAAGACUAGUUAUCCGCACUAAACUGCAUUCUUUGAGCAAAGUAUUUACAUACAACAAUAGCUGAAAGACCAGUAGUCUGCUACAUCCAGCUUUCUCAUCUUGAACUUCAUGCAGGCCGAGAAGCUUUGAGUAUGAGAUUGCCCCUCAUAUUACAUUUUUUUUACCAAUCUAGCAUAGGCUGUGUUCUUGUAGCUACAUGCAACGGGAAAAGGUUUCAGUAACUUCAACCAAAACAGAUACGCUAUGAGAAAAGCAAGUAAAUUUCAUCUAUAAUUAAGAAGGCAAAAUUACAGCUUCCCUGAUGGAGAAAAAUAAUGGUGCUCUGCUUUGCAUCCACCACAAACCUGUCAACCCUUAUUUGCAGAGAACUUGCUAGCCUUUGGUAAGGAUUUAUAUUAUUUCAUAUUAAUCUUUGAUUGCAAAGAGAAGAACAAGUGUCUGUAUAUUAGUCUAUUUCACUAAACAAACAGAGUAAAAAGAUGUCGCUCUCGAAGUUGCUGGAAUCUUGAAUGUCCUUUGCUUGCACCAAAGGAGUAAGCGAAGUUAGCUAACAUAAUGGGGUUGUUGUUAGGGGGCUUAUGCUACGAUCCUUGAAUCAGACAUUCAGAUGUUAUACUCCUUCCAUGUUGGAGAAGCUUCUGCUAGACAGUCACCCCCAAAGUAUCAUUUUUACUAUCAUGAUUCUGAAUCACAUCAGCACUAAAAUAGCUAGAUCUGAUUUGGGUUUUCCAACUCUAAAGGUAAAAGAUGAUGUACACACAAAUAAGAAGACUUCAGCAAAUUAAGAGGGUUAAGAAAACCGUGAUAUUCAUGGAAACUAUCAUGCCAGAACUAGUAAAUUUUAUUAUUGCCUACUCACAAGUAAUAUGAAACUAAGAUUAAUGAAUUUAACUUUAAAUGAUUAGCAGCUGACAGAAAAAAACAGUCAAGGAUACAAUGGAGGAUACAGAUGAAGUUAAUAUGCUGAAACCUGAUGACUUCGUACUGCAAAUUUGUGUCAAUAAACCAUGUCACAAAGGAAAAAGGUCACUUUCUAAAUCAGACAAGAGCAUACUACAAAUAUAUAGAAGAAAAGAAAGGAUAACUUACCCUAGAUUGCACUCUGAUUCCUAAUUGUACUCUGGAGUUUGCUCAUUUACAGAAUAUCUUCCUUCUCUUGCAUACUUCUGCUAGAAGAUUGAUCCUCUUCACAUCAGUCAUGAGAUUCCAAGGGAUCAUAUCUAUCGUCAAAAGUAUCUCUUUCAAGAGACUUUCAACUAUGACUCUCAUAUGUUUUCUCAAAUCUUUUAACAUUUGACUUCUGGUGCGAGUUGGACAGAGAAGAUGAUCUGCUAUCAUGAUACUUGGAUCUACUAUCAUGAUACUUGGAUGAGCGAUUUCUUUUAUGAUGCCUGGUAUCAGUCCGCUGUCGAUGAUCUUGUUCACUCUGCCCAUGAGACCAUCCAUGACUUCGAGACCUUUCUGAGCUUCUGGAGUAAUUUUCGGUAUCACGACUAUCACUGAGACUUCUAGAAUCUUCUAGAUACUUGCAGUGGAGGAGACUAUGUCUUGGUUCCUCUUGAUCUUUGGCAGAAGCAUGCCUGGAAGUUGUGGAAUGGAUAGUAUAACGUGAAUGUGAUUGUUUCCUAGAACGACUUGGGCUACCUCCCUCUGACUCGGUAUUUCUUUUUGUUGGAUUAUCAUCAUCGGUGGUGAAGUCAGUAGCAGUAGGUAGUUUGAAUGGACCUUGCCCUUCAAUUGCUAGUUCGAAGCAUCCAAUCCCUCCAGCUUGCUUAAUUUCCUCCAUGUAUUCCUCUAUAAUAUCCCUGGUAACCUUCAGACAGGAUAAAAAGUAAAUGUAAAUUCAGUAUAAUGAAAUGGUGUGAAAAGAACUGAUGUCAAUAUUUCAGGACUUUUCUUCGAUUCGUCUUAGUCCCCAACCUUCACUGCCACAAAAAAUGCAUGGUGUGAAAUCAUAACAACAAUGUUUUUAGCUCUAAAGGCUAUAUUUCAAACAAACAAUAUGCUCAAGAACCAUUUUGUGUUACAAAAUAAGAAAACUGUAAGCCAAUAAUAUUUUAGCAGCUUGACUGCCCUUAAGCAUACUGGCCAAUUACGCACCAAUCUCGAAUGUAAAAGGAUUCAAUUUUCUUUUCCUUUGCUCUUACUUAAAACUCUAUUCCACUUUUUAUUUUUUUGAUACAAAACUCUAUGCCACUUUUGAUUGUUGAAUUACUUUCCAUUUUGAUUAGCAUACAGUCAAAAUGGGGCAAUAAUAUCUCAGUUAAUCAAAUGGGGCAUAUGUCAUAAUAUAUGUAAGCAAGAAGAAGAAUCAAAAUUGAAUGUCAUAAUAAGAUAAACUUGAUCCUUACCUGCAAAGUUGUACGCUUCACCUUUUUGCCACGAUAUGACAUCCUUCGUCGUUUGUAGUCCCUUUCUUCUGCUAAUAACUCUUCUUUUGUCUUAGUCUUGUUAGUUUCCUUAAGUAAACCAACAAAGAACAAAGAAUGUAAGAGAUUUUAAAAGUGAGGAGCAAUUUUCCAAGAUUCACAAAAGAUUCUUUUAAGCAGUAAUGCCUGAAGAUAACAAUCUAGUAAAACAUUAUAUAGGAAUGCAUGAAGAACCAUAUAUCAAGCAAUCACUAGGCUGAUUCCUUUAGCCACUUAGCCAUACGUUAAAUCCACUAAACAUUACCAGACUGGUAUUAUGUUUCUUCUAUUUUAUCCCAAAAUAACGGGUAUUAUGUUUCUUCUAUUUUAUCCCAAAAUAAUACUAUUAAAUGGUACCUGGUUAUUUGAUUUUUGCCAAGGCAGCCCAUCAUGGUCGAUAAUAGGUCUAUACUGACUUCGGUUUUUCCGCUCCCCAUCAGCUCUUUGUGAGACAUAAUCAUGCUCAAGUACUCUACAAAGAAGGAAACUUGGCAUUUAUUACAUUAGAAAUCUAAUUAAAUGAGCAUUAUAGUUUACUUCUUUUAUCAUCUCUUUCCAUAGUUAUCAAUACAACUAGAGUUUUAACUUGUUAAAAGUAAAACAAAUAAAACCUGCAAGCAAGUUGAAAAUAAAAGAAACUGAUCAUAAUGUCAUACCGUUGAUGUCUAGUAAGGGUUUGUGAAACUUGUUCUCCAUUAAAUUUUUCUUCAAGCAUGAACCGUUCAUGCAACACUGCAAUGGCUGCUGCAACCUGAGACACAAAUACCGCCUUACUGAUAAUGAUUCCCUUCAUCUCACUGCUUAGUGGUUUAGUAAUAUCUUCAUCCCUAACACAACUGCCCUCAACAUCCCAAUUCGAUGAACCCUCUUCUAAACCAUGAAACUCUGUAUCUAGUAUGCAAUGCUUAAGAAUGUUUAUGGCGAAUAAUUUUCCAUUCACUUCACCAUAGAAUUUGGAACGCUAGAUGCCAACCACACUAAUACCUCAACCAAAGUUGGACACUCAAAAUGCCCACUCUCCGAAUCUCUAUAAUUUACCUUACCUUAAGCUUCCCUUAUAAUUGCCCUCAAGCACAGGGUAAUCAGCAUAACUAUAUGAUCUCCCAUGGCCACAUCAAUCACAAUCCCAUACUUGGGUGAACUUGCUACAACUCCCCAAAUCCCACUCUCUAAGAACACAUAACCCCAAAAUGGCACGUAGUACACAGCUUGAAUACAUAGAAGGAUACUCAUUCCAUCCUUGAACUUCAUUUUUUAUGGCCCAAGACUCUGAUGGCAGAAAUCUACUACAUACUUUGUCACAAUCCAUCAUCUCCCUAACUUCUUCAACGGAGAAAUUCGCACACUCAGCUGACAAAACUGAGGGAAGUGUGAAUGUCUAUCGAAACCAUCCAGCGCAGAAGAGUUAACAACACCAGGGCAAUCAGGGUAGAAAUAAUUGCACCCAUUCAGUAGAGAUCAUUCAGGUGGGGAUUCCGCAUAGUAAUGCUCCAAGGACAAGCAUAGAUCACCAGAUGGAAUAAAACAUUCACCAGAUUGGGAUUGGUCGGUGGAUUUGAGGGUUUUGGGGUAAUGGAGCGGUGGGAUAAGGUGGUGGAGAGGCCGGGGGCAGCGGAGAAAGUGGGAGAAAAGGGAGUGAGGGUGCAAACGGUGAUGAGGAUUAACAGGACUGAAAAUAUGACAAUCACUGUCAUCAGAAUCAUCUUGGCUCGGGACAGAGGAGAGUAGAAAGCAAGUCAAGGAUCAGAGAAGAGUCACGAAUGAGGCUGCUUAGAGAUGACAUUGUCGUAAAAAGGUCAGGAGGCAAAGCAGGAGGAGUGUUGACGUUGGGUUGUGCAUUCUGCGGCCGAGAGUGGAACAAAUUGGGUUGGGAUUAGGGUUAGGAAUUGAGGCAGGGAAAGUGAAUGGUGUGUGAGAAAACUGAGCCGGGGUGUGGUUCAUGACAUAAAAUACCAACCUAUGCUUAACUAACACUAGCGAAAAAUCCACCUGCAUUAUAUACAGUAGCAGGAGUUAGAAUCUUCUGUAAACACUUCUCCUCUAUCCUAAAAACAAAGCUUUAUAUCUAAAUAUGAACAUCCAUGAACCUUUAUAGCUAAGUAUGAACAUUUAUAAACUAAAUAUAUAGAAAAAAACAGACCCAGACUGUAAUCCAUACUGAUACAAGAUUAAUAGGAUAAAGAAGUGAACUUGGUUUUCAGAUUCAUAGAAGCAGAAAAUUAUCGAAUCAAAUGGAACAAAUUGAGAGCAAUUAGGAUUCCAUGUAGUUAUACCAAAGCCGAAUUGAAAAUUAAUUGAAGGAUUUAGAGAGAGAGAGUUACCGGAGAUCGAGCAAGGUGCUGAAAUCGGCUGCGACGUCGUUUCGUUCUCAACCUCAAUAGCAAGGUCGGAGCUCACAGUGCAGAAAACUCGGCGCCUUCUCUUCUGUUUUAGUUUUCAGACUCUUUUUUUCUUCUUCUUUUUUUAAAUGGUGGGCCCACCCCGCUAUAGCCCGCGACACCUCGACCGCCUAGACACGUGUCGUCUUGUCUAGGCCGCAUGAAAUAAUUUUUUAAUUAAUUUUUUUAUGUUUUGCUUUUUUAAAAGCUGGGCCCCCGCUAUGACACGCUCACCAGUGACCGUCUAGACACGUGUCGUGUCCGUCCAGCCCGCAUGACUUAAUUUAUUUAAUUUUUUUCUUUUUCUUGUAUUCAAAUGUCAAUGGCGGGUCCCACAAACCGUAGGAACCACGCCGCCAGAGAUAGUCCGCCUUAACCGCAGUAAUUAAAUUUUUGUUUUAAUUUUUUACGAUGCCUGUAAAAAUCUGCUUAUUGCAUCCUUUUUUUAUCAGAGACCAUACAGGAUUGCACAAACGAGAAACUACCAACUUCACUGAGAAGAUACAGAGAGGGGAAAACAAAAUCGACACAUUGCAUUUCAGGCAUUAAUACUCUGGUAUUCUGAUUCAAGGCACAAUUCAUUUCUGGAUUCAUAUUGUGAGGAUAUAUACACUAACUUUACAGAGCAGGCACAGCAGGUGAUCAUUAUGCUUUUUGGUAUCUUGUACACGGUUUACAAGCAGAGCUUCUCUUUACUCCUACAAAGACAUAAAUCGAUGCCUUCUAAUACAUGUAAGAACAAACACUCACCCACUGUACAAAUGGCUCUAUACAACAAUGACGACAAAACUUCAUGCCACUGCCUUCGGGAUAAUAAUAAUAGAGUGGCAGCUAAGCCAGAUGUUUCAUUCAACAAUUUCCCUUCCAAGUGGAUCAGCACAGUCAUCUCCAUCGCGAGCAAUAACAUCCAGGGUGGAGAAAUGUCUUGUGGCACCUUCGCAGUCCACAAAAGGGCAAUCCAAACGCACGACACUAGAUCCCCACACUACCCAUCUCCCUCUGGUUGUUCCCCAGAACAAGCAUCCUGAUUGACCUGGUUCUCAUUUGGAACGCGGUCAGCAGGAACAUAUGCAUAUCCUUUGGGUAAUUGCAUAUUUUUCAACGAUGCCUGAUCUGAUGUCAUCACCAAUUCCUUCGAAAACAUCUCACCGUGCUGAGAAGAUUGGACGAUUUGGAAUUAAGAUUACAAUAAUGUGUGAAGAACUUCAACUCUCUUAAAGGGAGGAAAGAAAAAAGUUCUCAAAGAAUAGACGUCGAAAAGUAAAUUACCUUCUUAGAUUUUGACCUGUAUCCACCAUCUUCCAAAAGAUUACAAGAUGCCACAGAUGAUCUGAAAGGAAUCUGUUUCUCAGAAAACUGCAUCCUCUCCGAAAGAUUCUGCGUAAACUGGUUUUGGGAUGUGGAGCUGUCAUCAUCUGUCCUUUGGUCGUUAUCAAUAGUUAUAGGAACUCUAGUCCUGUUCUUAACUGAAAUUGUACUAUCUACAGUCACAUCAUCUGAUCUUUGGAAUGUAUCACUGCAUGAUCUGUAAUCCUCUGUGUGCGCUUUAAGAGAAGUUGUUGCUGAUUCAGAACUAGCAUCCGCUAGCAAGAAAGGACUGUUAGCAAGCACAGAACUGGCGACAUGAUCUCUUUUCACGGCAAGAAGGUCAUGUGAACAAAUAAGUAAUUCCCUCUGCAUUCACAAUAAACUUGUUCAGCUUAAACUACUUCAAGCAAGGAAGUAAAACUUCUUUGAAGGUACAUGCUAAAUACACCCAUAUAGACAAUCACAGGCAGCGGCAACAACUAAUUACCACACCCAACUCCUAACUAACAUGGAAGCUGUGCCAUAGGAUAACAGAAGAGAACCGGUACAUUGAUAACACAAGGAACCAAUAACACAUGCACAUCAUAGACACAUCAAGGCCACACAUAUAACACAGAGUCACAGACCCAGUACUCCAGUAGCACCCACCUUUACUUUCUCCCGUUUGAUAAUCCUUUCGCAAAUAAGGCGUAACCUCUCCAGUUCAGCCUGUACAAAGAUCAAACAUGUUAGAAGUCAAACAGGCAAUUCAAUGUUACUAAGAAAGCAAUAUGACCAAAGAGCUCAAAAAGAAAAAAGGAAAAAAAAAAAAAACAACGUUUUUGCCGAGGCAAUCAGUAAAACCUACUUGAUCGACCAAGAGAAGAUGAAAGACAAAGACAGUUAUAUCAGAUGGCAUCUUCACUGCCUAGCUAGUAGGAUGUGGUUUACUUGAGUUCUAAUGCACAUCACAUAGGAAUCAUAUAACAGAUUUCAUUCUUCUUUUACCAUUUUAGAUAAACUUAUAAUUCUAUUCAAAUCAUUCCAACACAUGUAUAUCACAUGGGCAAUAUAUAUUACUAGCAAAUCUAACUAUUCACAUCUUGAAUCAAAUUUAGGACUACACAAGUCAAUGAACCUAUGUGAACCAAAGAGAGAAAAAGGACCAACAUAGAAAGAAGAGCUAUUUCAUCGAGGGAAACUAAUUCAAGCAGUUUUCUGUACUUUAAGCAAGUGCAUACUGAUGGAAAUACAAGAUCUUAGAGUCUUAGGCGGCAAUAACGAUUAUUAAUAAGUGGAAACAUAACAUGGUAGAUCAUAAGCCCCACCCUUAUUGUAUAAAGGUUCUUUAAUUCCUCCAUUCCAUGUUUUUGUGUAUCAGCCUGCAUUAGUGCAAAAACCCAGAAGUUAAUAAUCAUAACUUAGUAAUGACCAAAAGGGCGUGUUUUACAUAAAUAUAAAUCUAUUAACCUUCGCCCUCUGCUCAAGGCUAUGCCUCUCGCAGUAUGCCUUGUGUUGCUGCUUGCCACCAAGAGCUUUUACAUUCAUAUAAAAAUCUGAACUUCUGCCACAGGAGGGAUGAAAUGUUGACUGACAAUGGCCAUAGCUGCACUGCAGGAAAAAUAAUAAAAGAUAUACAUGUAUAUGAAUCAGGGAUCCUCUUCAUAAGGGGAAAAAAGCCAAUAGAGAAAACUUGUCAAAACAUAAGAUGAAAAAUAUUCGGAAAUGUCCCAACUCUCACCUUUAUGCAGACACCAAAUUUCCGUCGGCAGAUGUAACAGAAAUCAACGCCCUUUGUAACGGUGUCCUGAAAUCCCAUUACAGUUGAGUGUUAUAACAGCAGAAACAUCAAUCCUUAUCUUAAACCAAAAUAUCUACAGUGAGACCAAGGAAACUCAGGUUUGUGAUUGCCAUGGAUAGAAUGCAAGCAUACCAUUCCCUCAAUCGGUGAUACUUGUCCCCUUUUGAACGUUGACUCAAAGACCCACUACCAUAUGAAACAGUGAAUAGCAUCAAUAUUCCGCAUAAUAUCCAGAAGUCUAAAAUAAAUAAAUAAAAAUAAAAAAACAAUUCUACAUUAUUCAUCUGUAGGUAACAUGAGAAGGUUUUACCUCAGCACAAAAAGCAUGGACCCAUUGACCAUCAGAGGAUUUCCUAAAAGCACCAGUUUUCCCACCACAUAAACCACAUUCUGUAGUUAAAUGCUCUUUCUCCCAAAAAUUGGCAGUAGAUUUGCCUUCACAUAACUCACAGUACCAUGGGCCUGUAGAUUCUCUUGUACUACGAUAGCAAUCCAAGUGAACAGCAACCUGUAACAAAAGACCUGGUUAUAGGUUUUCAACUCAAGCAGAUAACAGGUUUAUAAAAAAUAAAAAAUAAAUAAAAUAAGAUCAAAAGAAAGGAAGGAGACCUUGCAACUGGAACAGACUAAAAUCGGGUUUAACAUCGUCUCAGAACGUCUGCAGAUAUCACACAAUCUAGGAUGUUCUUUAGAGAUAUCUGAGCCUGAAUGAACUGCACCAGAGUGUUUUUCCACAGAAACUCUAGGGACAGCCACCCUUGGAAAUGUCUCUUUUGCCCGUGGUAUCAUCUGUGAGGAAAAGCUGGACCUCCCACUAAAGCUGCUCAGCUUCACCAAAUUCUGCAGAGAAAAGAGAGACUGCAUAAGUAAAUUGUAUCCAUUGACGGCCCUAAUAUUACAAAAAAAUUAAAGAUCAUCAACCUCCUGAUGCGCAGGUUCAUCAAGGACAUCUUUCCUAAAUGAUGAAAUCCUAGAAGAGGCAGCCGCAGCAGCAGUUGCAGCUGCUAACACGGCCUGUGCUUCCUUAUGCCGUCUCUCCUUCCUACCUUGCUUCUUUGCCUCUCUAAGCUCGCAAAGAUACUGGUUAACCAGCACUGCAUCCCACUUCAGAUUCCGAGUUGCAUCAAUCUCUUUUGGCAGACUCUUAGCGACAUUACACAUCAAAACAUCUGCAGCAAAUGUAUAAACAGUACAGGUUAACAGUAUGUCCAUAUAAAAAAUCAGAAUACAGAGUAAAUGAGUCAUGCCUGUUAAACUCCACAGAAGAAAGUUAACCACAUACCUGUAUAAUGCUUUCUCGCACUUAUAUUGUUUUGCAACCUAUGCUGAUAAUAGAUGAGCUCUCCUUCCACUUCAUCUUCUGGAGACAUUUCUAGAACUCCCAAUUCAUGAGCCUUAGCCAACUGUUCUAAACCCAUCUCAUCAGAUUUACAGUUGGUAUCAUGACAUUUUGGAUGUAUAUUUUGGUGAUUACAGCAAACACUUGCAUGGGAAGAUGCUUCCACACGAGAAACUUCUCCUUCACUUGAACCUACAAGAAAAACUACAUGUCAAUACCACCCAUGGAAGAAUAAUGGAAACAAGUAUAUAAUUUUAAUCUGUACCAUAAAUUGUGUUCUUUGGAGGCACCCCAUUUUGCAUCUGUGAUAAUGUCUUCUGGAUGGGCAGUUGGGCAUUAGAACCUCCCUCUGGUUUCCUGAGGUAUAUGGUCGCAACAUUGAGCAUAAAAAUUUGAAGAAAAAGAAAAACAAUGUAUCUUAUCAAAUCACAAUACAUGCAAAUGAGCUUCCCAGAGCUCGAGACAAAAUCAAACAGCAUUUUACAGUUCCCGAAUUACAUAUACAAAACAAAAAAUAGAAGCUUACUUGCUUUCAGGAACUGAUUUUUCCACUGAAAACAACGGAUCUACAUUUGCAAUCACCAAGUCAGUCUGCGAAGGAAUAGUAGCCACCACUUCUUGACCUCUUUGUGAAAGGCUGCAAUUUGAGGACUUAACUGAAUAACCUGUCAAUCAUAUAUUGUUUUCAUGUCAAAAGACACACCAAGAACCAUUUCAUUGCUGCAAAAGUCAUCUAUGAAUGAAACACAGUAGACUAGAAUUAACCCAAGACAACAGCAAAUUCAGCCAAAAAAGAGAGAAAUACCAACAGCUAUGGUUAUAGACUGAUCAUCUCCAAAAUAGCAGCAAAUACAGCAACAAAUACUAAAGGAGACACUAGAAGAUAAAAGGGAUUUAGCGGUAGCAACGAAUUCCCAGGAACAUUAAAUACCCAUCAAGAGGACAUGAACUAUAUAAAGUAUUACAGUCUCAUUUUAUAUUUAGUUUAGUGAACUCAGAAAGUUGAUUACAAUUACAAACAUAAGCGCAAAUCAAAGAAAAUGCUUCAGUGUCGCAUGGGAAAUAGAUCUUUUAGAUCUCUUCCCCCCCCCCCCCCCCCCCCUCCCUCCCUUUUUUUCACAGCUCAAAAUAGCUCAAUUACGAUGAAAGCCAUUCGUGAGAAAUGGUCUUCUAUCCCACUACAAGAUCAACAAAUCCACUACCGUUCUAUUAAAUAAAAUAUCAGAUAUUUCCAUCCCCCAUUGGUUCUAUUCCUGAUUCAUAACUCAAAAGUUUUUCUGCCACUCUCCAUUACCAAUAAAGUGUUAAAGUUCACAACUGUGUGACAAAGCUGAACGAGCUGGCCUGGAUCAAUUCUGUCCAAAUAUUUAUGUGCACAGAGGGGUUGUACUCAAGUUUCACUCAAAAUAAUUAAAAACACUUCCUUCAAUGGAAGUUGGCAAUGUUCACUAAUAUGAAUUUUCAGAGCUGCAGGAAUUAAAUUAUCCUCUUGCCAGUAUUGAAAACAUCAGAGUGAACACACUGAACCAGCAGAAACGGAAAGUAUUACCUUCAGGUGAAUGUGUUGGCAAAGAAUCUUGUAACCCAUUGAGCACCGUCAUAUUCUGCAACGACAAGCAAGAAAGUCAUUUUUUUUAGGAAAAAAAAAUUAAUUGAAACAAAAAGUAAGAACAUUAUCAAUAUGCCAGAUGCAUCACAUUACACCACACAACAAGGAAGGAGAGAGAGAGAGAGAGAGAGAGAGAGAGAGAGAGAGANNNNNNNNNNNNNNNNNNNNAAACUUAGCUACUAGACUAAAACUGACCCUCUUUCUUCUAAAAAAAAAGUUAUCAACAGUCACUUGCGCAAACUUCAACUAAACAUAUAAGUAAUAAGUAAUUACGCCAUAAGACAUCCCUAACCUUUUUUGGGGACUAUUAUCAGUCAAUGUUGUAACAGAACAAGCCGUAUAAUAAUCAAAGUCAAUACAGUCUAGACCUUAAUUGAUCACAUGAUAAAACAGAACUGAAUACGGAUUGCUUGUCAAAACUUAAAAUAACAUUUACACAGAGGGCACCUUUAUUAUCUAGAAAUAUUGGAAGUAUGAACGCAGGAAUCAACUUAUGCAAUUGCAUAGAUAUUGUCAAAAGAAUUGCAUAACCAACUUUAGUUUAAUUGAAGUUACCUUCUCAACAAAACUGAUGCACUCGACUUUCAAAUUUUUUGGUCCUCCACUGGUAAUUUUGUCUGAUUUAGUCUUGUCAUGCAACACCCCAUUGUCACAACAGGUCUGGUCUGAUGAUCUGAGAACUUUGUUAUCCUUCAAAAUCCUAACACCACCUUUUGUUCUUCUCCGUGGGGGUACAGAUUUAACAGCUACAGGAUCCGACAUACCAGACUCUGUUGAUGGAGCAUCAGAACCUCCAAACUCAACCGUGGAUGAAAAUGAUGGUCUUAAUUUUGUUUUAAAAUUUUUCUGCAUUAGAUCCAAAUAGGUAUUAUCUUUAAGCCAUUUAGCUAUUCUGCUUUGCACAUCCGGCACCAAACUAUCAUCCUGCAUAAACAAAGUAAAUAUGUCAGGACAAGUGAAGUAGGGAUAACAAAUACUUCUAAAUUCUAUUGCAUAAUAAUUAUACACAUAAAAACUAAAUUAUUUAAAUUGCAUUACCGCAAGUGAUGCAGAUAAAGAAUCAGGUGAGAUGCCAAUCUCCAAUGCCACAUCCUUCACAUCAACUUUUCCACAAUCAAUCAGCUGCAAGAGAAGAAAAUAUAAGACUUGGAAAUGCUGCUGAAGCCAAUAAUUGUAAUGAUAUAUAAUAUCUUCAUUGACCACCUUAUUCAUUACCUUCUGUAAGAUAGGUGUAAGAUUAAGGGCCCCAGAUGCAUUGACAUCCUCACAGCUCCUCUCUAAUUUCCCCCUAUCAGUCAUUGGCAAGCCCUGUGAUCUGCUAUCACUGACCUUAUCGGAAUUAUCUGAAGUCCCAAUAGUGACUGCAACAUUAUCACCAUUUCUUCUGCCAGUUUUUGACUUGUUUGAUUUUUUUGGUGACAAUGUCACAUGAGGGCUGUCUGAGAUAUUUGAAUUCUUGUCGAUGUACACAGAAGGAUCCACUGGUUCAGCAUUGCUGUUAUUCGGUACUUCUGAGUGCUUUGGGCAGAAAGCCUUUAAUUCAACCUGUGUAUCCACAAUAUUGUAAAGCCUGAUCACAACCAUAACCUAGUUCUUAAAAACAUGGAACAUGACAGCAAAUACAGCAAAGAUGAUAACCUUAACAAUUCUCAGACACAAGGAAAACUCUUACAUUAUUGACCCCAAAUUUUGCCCAAAUUUCCAUUCUCUGUCUUGCCUCUCUCGCACACAUUGGAUGGAAAGAAGUUCUGCAAGCACCUGAACCAAAACCCAAAAAUAUAUAUUUACAUCAUGAGGAAUGUGAUCCAGAAGUUGAAACCGAAAUUCCAGCAGAAAGCAAACUGGUUUAAGUAUUAUAAAGGAUUAAGCCCUCUCAAAAGUAUGCCAAGCCCCACUUCACAAGGCCCAUGACAAGUAGGUUAGAAGAAAAAUAAUAAUGUCAUACAAGUAGAGCCAUUGAGAGCUCAAGAUGUAGUCCUGCAUCCCACUAUAUAUGAGAAAGCAAUUUAAUAUGUUCUAAGCCUAUACUAAAAAGAACAGUUGCAAAAAAACUAUUUAAGAUCUGGCACUGAAAUCAAAGUUCAUAUAAUAAGGUCGGUACGAAGCAGACCAUCUAGUUCAUAUAACACCACAAGCAUAAUACCAUGCAUACUCAAAUUGAUGAAGAAGAAAAAAUGUUCCUCACAGACAAGAAAAUCAGGAAGUGUAUUAACUAUUAACAACUCCUAUGAAGUACCCAAACACAAUAAUUAUUCAAUUUUCCAACAAAAGGAAAAGAAGCAAGAAAAUGCUCAAUUGUUUUGCAAUGUAUCUUAAUACGAAGGCUUGCUUAUUCUUUCUUUCCCUCAAAUUUGAUACAUGCAGUUCGCAAAGAAAAAAAAAAAGGGUUUAUGCACACGAACAUAACCACCAGAGCAAUCUGAAAUCUAUACUUAAAACCACAACUAGGCACCUAGUGUAGCAUUCUCAAUUCCCAAAAUAUUAUCUCUUGCAGCAUAGUGGAAAUAAGACUGAUUUAUUAACCAAAAAAAUAAAAAAAAAUCACCAUACAGGCAAAAAGGAAAUUAUAUUUUACAGGACAACUCUACAAAUGGAGAACUAAGCACAUACAACUUUAUGGGAAACAGUAAAAAUAGGAAAUGAAAUUGCAUAAGACAGUAAAGCAACAAAGAAUACCAUGACUGCAUCGAACACAAGCGCCCCACUUCACCUUGCAUAUGUUACAUAUUAAUUUUCUUCGGGCUUCCGGUAUUCCUUUAACAUUUACGAUGGGUUCCACCUUUUCCAUAUCCUCAAUAUAAGCCUCUGGCAUCCAUUGACAGCAAAACAGAUGGGCAAACUCCAGAGAACCACCACUAUCACCAUUCUUCAGAACUGGCUUCAUCGCACCGCCCUGCUUCGAACAAAGCACACAUGGGUUUACUGAAUUACUAACACCAGUGUUGUGCUUACACCAAGAGCAUAACCAUGAAGCAUCUGCAUCUUCUAGCACUCCGUAGCACUUCUGAUGAACCACAACCUUACAAGAACUACAAACAAUCAACCGAUUCGACUUAUUUCCUAUAUCACCCUUGCAGCAAAAAUGGCAUAAAGAAGGAUUCCCAUCACAAGGAGCUGCAUUUAUGACUUUCUCCAACCCUGCAUCAGCACCGAGAACCUUCCGCUUCUUUGAAGGACGCUCAGUUGCUAAAGAAGUCUUGUUUUUAUAACCUAAAAGCCACUCAACACCAUUGGGAGAAUCCGAAUCAGAACAGCUUGGUUUUUCCUCCUCAGGCAAACCACAAGCUGCAACACUAUCAAUUUCCAUUGACUGCACAUUCUGCUCCGUCUUGACCUCUUCUUCAACAACCCCAUUUUCAUUUCCGCCUUUCUCACCAACCUUCUCAACUACACAAUCAGCAUUCUCAUCCUUGCCAACAACCUCAGUAGCAUUCCCACCGUCCUCCCCGGCAGCAACCUCAUUAGCAUUGCCACCGUCUACAUUCUCCUCCUUAACCUCAUUCGAACUACCACCACAACCACACUCCUCACCAGAACCAAGUCCCGCAUCCACAUUUCCAUUUCCAUUCAGCUCAGGAAUAUUCCCCUUAUCCGGAGUCGAAAAACACUGAGUGGCAGCUACCUUACUAAGCUCAGACACCUCAGCCAAGGCUUCGAUAUCAGACAAUGUCACUGGUCUAAAGUACUCCUCUGUCUCUGCCCACAGGCUAUACCCCCGGGCCUUCUCACUCUGCCUCGAAUGCUUCUUAUCCGACGCCGCAUGUGACUUCUUGUGCCGCCUCCGGCUAUCCGACUGCCUCGACAAGAAGCUAGCCAACCCCCUCGGCAACGUGGUGGGGACCACAGUCGAACCACCGCCGCCGCCGCCACCGGCCGAGACGUCUUCCACAACAUCAUACGGCGACCGCUCGCACAAGGCCUUCCUCGCCUGAGAAUACAAAUCCACCGGGUUUUUGGAAACUUCCGGCAGAGUCGCCGGAAUCUUGGACGGAGCCCUAGAAAUCGGGCAGGGCUUCUCCUCCUCCGUGGCGCAGCCCCCGUUGGCCAUCAUCAUCUGCUUCUUCUUUUUCCCGUGACAUCGGCCUCCGGUCAUCACCGACAACCGACAAAUCCCAUCGGCGGCCUCUCGAAAAAAAUAAAAUCAAAAAUUGAAAAUCCCAAUCGUAACCCUAACCCUAAAAAUCCCUCGAAAAUCCAAAUCCGCGCGGCCGGAUCUAAAAUUUGUGAAACGGAAAAGGAAAGACGCUAUCGCCUAAUUCGAAAAAAUCGUGAGAUGUGGGGAGAGAAAGAGAGAUAAAAGUCGCGGCUGGGCGAGGCUAGGGUUUACGGUUAUAUUCUGGUUCGUAUUUCUUUGGAUCCGUUUUUCCGAGUGGGGUGCCCUUUCUCUCUUUUUUUUUUUUUUUUGGCUCCAAAAAAUAAAAGAGAAAUGAAAAUUGUGUUAGAGAGAGAAAGAGAGAGGAGAUAUUUUCUUUCUAAUUUUGACACAUAUACGUGGGGGAAUUGUAGGGUGGGGUGACGCAACUGCUGCAGUGGGAUGUGAUGUACACGUGGCGGGUGAUUAUAGGAGGCGGUGAUGUGUGUCAUUCACCGGGUCAAUUUUCCCCGAUUUGGCAAAUUUUAUUUUCGAUCCACAUAAGGAUGGCAUUUCAGACGGGUAGUCGGGGAUAAAAAACUCAUACUCAUACCUCAUUUUAUUUCUCAUUUUCCGUCCUUGUUUUUUUUAGAAUCAAAUAUCAAAAUAAAUAAAUUUCUUAAUUCAAUCUAAUAGAAACAAUUUAGGUUUGAGUUUGCUACGUUACUUUGAUUAAACAAUCUUUUUUUGAGAAUCAAAAAUUAUAUAAUAGAAAGAAAUUUUUUAUAAAUAAUUAUUAAAAGAAUCAGAAAAGAAUUUUACAUAUAAAAAUAUAUAUAAUAAAUAAUAUAUAUAAACCUUAAUGGGUGGGGACAAAUAUUGAAAUAUCAUACCCGCCCCGCCGCCCCGGACCUUUAGGGCUAGUUUGAUAUUAUUGUGACUUUAAAAAAAAAACUAUUGCUGUUGUACUACGAAAACAAUCAACUGUGAAUUAAAACAGUUUUAUGUUUGGUAAAUAUUAGUUUUAAAAGUGUUGUCAAGAUAAAAUUUAUUAGGGUCUACUUCAAGGGACAUUAAAUUUGACACUAAUUUUUAACCAUUAGAUUUUAAAAUAAUGAAUGGUCUAGACCAACCUUAAAUAUGAUGUCAACAUAUAACUAAUUGAUGUGGCAAAUGACGUGACAUUAUAUAAUUUAAUAAAAAAUCAAAUUAAAAAAAAAAAGAUGGAAAAAUCACACCUUAAAAUCUGGAAAACAAAUCCAAUUUGCUCAAUAAAAAGGAGAAUAAAAAUCAACAGAACUCCAAAGACGUGGAAGAACAAACCCAAAGAAUCUAGGCAUGAAAAUGAAGCCUUUCGAUCAACGCACAAAAAUAAAUCCAACCUCACCUUCAAUUGUCUAGGUAAAUUUCCCUUCAGAAAAGCAGUGCUUUCAGUUGCGGUUGUUGAUUAAAGUGUAAUUGAGUGAACAUGAGAGGCAACGUUUGCAUCAUUGUUUGCACCAUUGACAUGAACACCAAUAUUACUCUAACAUGAGAAGCUAGUAGACAAACAUUGUGAAUCAUUGCCUAGAUUAAUAUACGAUCUGUGUUGGAUUACAAAUUCGGUUUCUUUGGUCUUUCCUUUUUUUUUUUUUGGUUUUUGUAUUCUUCUUCGUCUUUGGGGUUUUGGGCAAUUUUUUUCUCCUUUUUUAUCAAGAAAAUUGGAUUUUGUUUUCUAGAUUUUUGUGUGAUUUUUCCUUCUUCUUUUUUAAAUAUGAUUUGUUAUUAAAUUAGGUAAUGUCAUAUCAUUUGCCACAUCAAUUAGUUAUAUGUUGACAUCAUAUUUAGGAUUGAUCUAGACCAUUCAUUAUUUUAAAAUCUAAUGGUUAAAAAUUAGUGUUAAAUUUAAUGUCCCUUGAACCGGACCCAAUUUAUUAAUUUCUAGUGUUUUUAGUGACAGCUGCUUUUAAAAUAAACAUUCAUGUUGAUUCUAAAAACUAUUGUCAGUGACAUAUAAUUUUUUAAAAAAAAUGUUUUUCUUUCAUUUACCAAACACUAUAAAAUCUAAAAGUUCGUAUAAAAAAUGAUUUUUUUUAAAAACGAAGUUGUACCAAACUGGGCCUAAGAAUCUGAAUACUAGGGAUCUUCAUCCAGUUACCCGUUUAUCUCUCUUGUUAGGGUCGAAUACUCAUGGGUACCCUACCCGUUGGGAAUUAUUGCCAUCCCUAGAUCCACAACGUUUUUGCUUAGGGCUGAAUUACUUUUUCUAAACUGGUAGCACUUGUCAGUGAUUUUGAAAAUGAAGUUACAUGGAAAAGGUAAAAUAUUAGAAGCCAUAAAUAUACAAAAAAAAAAAAUACAAAAAAAAAAAUCCUAGGGCGUAUUCUUAUUAACCUCUUUGGAUAAUUUACCAAAACAAAAAAACCUCUCUUGACAAGCUCAGACUGUUUUGUCUUUCUCGUUUCUCCUCAUAUCAGCUAGCACUCUCCCACCCAAGACCAGCGACUUCAUACCAAGAGACAAAACUGGUUCCUUCCAAGAAUCAGGUAACCAUCGAAGUCCAAACAUGUCGGUUUUCUCCUUCAGUAAUUGGAACACUUUGCCCCUUGUGGUCUCUAGUUCCUCCUCAUAUUGGCGGAGCUCACCUUCCACCGAUGCCGAAAAUCUGUCCACCAAAGCAUUGAGAUGACGUUGCGGGUGUGUCAAGUGAUAUCUCAAAAUGUCGAGUUUCAUGUUCAAACUCAUUAUUCCUUUGAAGAAUCUUGAGUAGUGAUUGCUCAUCUCCAGCAAUGUCACCUCAUUCAAAUUCUCAGCUUGUAGUAAACUUAACGUGUUUGAAUUGUAGCGUUUGAUAUUCUCGAGUUGUGUGCUUGCCAAAUCCACCAGCUCAUAGAUAUUUAGAUCAUCCUCAUCAAAUAAUUUUUCUGUAGACUGGAGUGAAAAUUUGAAGUGUUGUGGACACUCUGUUUCUCUCCCAGGUAGUGUCCGCCACAAAUAACUGAAGUAGGUAACGCCUUCAGGCGUGAAUGGAUCAACUAGGUUGCUGGAAAAUUGAGCCCUUAGGGUCUCCACGGCCUUCAAUUUCUCUUGAUCAAUUUCAGCGUUGUUGUUGUCGAACACAACCUUAUGUGCAACUGGUCUCAGAUACUUUAGGGGCACUUCAAAAAGCUCAUAAUAUUGGUCAAGAUGGUAACUGGAAUGAGUUAAGUUGUAUUUCUUCUCCAUCUUUUAUCGACGUUACUUGAAUACAACUAUAGUUAAAGGAAAGAUACAGAGGAAAGCUAUUAUAUUUCAUUGAUAAUAGGGCCUUUAUAUAUAGAUGGAGGAAAACCAAAAUACAAAGAUUCCUAUCCCUUUAUGAUAUCAAAUUCCUAUCCCUUUAUGAUAUGGAAAACUAGCUAGAAUAUUUAUCGAAUCCUGGAUGAUUAAUCCACUAAGGAUACCGACUCAGAAUAUGAGAAGACUACUGUGUCAGCAUGGAAGAUUAAUAACAUGAUUUUAUUGAUCUACACUGUAAAUUGUCAUAACAUGGUCUUGCAAGCUCAUUGUUUCUGACUUCCUGCUAGACACCUAAACUUCUGCUAGACCAAAAUCCCCAAGUUUCAUUAGAUUCUGCAUCAAGCAGCAUGUUGCAAGAGUUAACAUCUCUCAAUAAUUUGCCUGCCAAGUUGAAGCUUCUGUCGACGACUUUAAUUACGCGUCCAUGGGUUCUGCGUCAAUCUAUUGAACAUAAUUAAUGUUGCCAUCAAAACCUCCUUAUCUAUUGAUCCCAAUUCUUCACCAUCUCCUUAUCGAUCAUGGUUGUUGUGCUUUUGAGAGCUGGUUAACCGGCGUCUCCGCCUUUUGGUAUUGUGCCUCUUGUUGCAAAAUUGAAUGGGAGUGAUGAGAGUUUAGAAAUUGGGAAGGAAGUGAGUUCUGAUAAGAAGGCUAAGGUAUAUAGUGGAGAUGUGAAAGAGCUUGGUGUUAGUGUUAACAAGAUGGUCUGCAAGGACCAAAUUCGGGUGAAAAUGGGAGAAAAUGCCAUGCACUCCACCUGCUUGAUGAAAUGCAGCAUUCAUAUGGGCUGUGUAAUGCAGGAAAGAAACAUUGUAUAACAAGCGAGCAAUCAUAGGCUGCAAUCUGUCUGUUGUAUCACAAGGCAGCAAAGCUGAAACCCCUUUUGUUUAGGAAAAUCAUAGUCUCAUCACAUAGUACUUUAUACCCUAUGGUGAGCUCUACCCAUCUACAUUACUCAAAUUUACUUAACUAGUGUCCCUUUCUUUGACAUUACCAUCUACCAGAUACAUGACAUCCAUAUGCAGACCUAGUCUAAUGUAAGUAUCUCAGGCAAUCCAGGCCUUUUAGGGGGUUGGCGGAUGGGUGAUUGGUUAAGAAUGGGCUGAAGUUCAAGAUCUUCUUGUGGUUGUGGUUGUGCUGCGUGAGCUUGUCUCUGAAAUGGGGCACUGAGGAAGCCAUAUACUGCUCUCGAAGCUCUUGUUGAUCCGCUUGCUGCUGCUCUGCCUGCUGAUCUGAUCGAAUCCAAUACUGACUGAGGGCCUCCGACGUAAGCAACCAAGGAAGUCAGAGCUGCAACAGCCGCUAAUACCAUAUAAGCCCCCCUCCUUUCAACCGCUUCGUUAGGCAACAAGUUGUGGGGCGUGGUUCUAGCCACACCAACCACUCCAAGGAUGCUGACAGCGCCUACGAGGACUCUGUUGAAAGCUCCGAUACUGCCUGCCAAGAUUCGACGACCUAGUCCCGCAUUCUCUGUCACCGGAACUGUUGACGCGCCCCCGAGCAUACCACAUAAGUUGCACAGGACGUAUACAACAAUAUAAUUCGUUACCCAUGGACACUUCUUUCGAAUGAGACAAGCAAUGACAAUCACCAGUAUCAGCACGGUUAACAGAGGUAAACCAUACUUGAUCAAGUCUUCUACAAUGGGAUACCAGUAUGGAGUGGGAGUGGAAUGCCAAUAUGGAGUGGGAGUGGGAUACCAAUAUGGAGUGGGAGUGGAAGUGGGCUUGGUUUUAGGCGGAAGUGAAAUUGGACUUGUACCUCUCGACGGAGAAGAUGGCGAGGUUCCGGUGUCCUGCACGUGAUGGCGAAGUUCCAUGUCCUUCACUAAGACGGUGGAGCUACGCGCAGCCGCCUCCGUUUUCUCCAGUUUCUGCGGCGUGGUUCUCGUCGCCGGAGGCAGUUGAGAUGACAGCGGAAGGGUGGCAGUGGCUGAAACGGCUGCGGAACUCCGAGGAAGCGAGAGCGGUCUCGCCGCGUUGACCAUCGCAGGAGCCGGAGAAGACGGCUCAAGAACACCUGAAACGGCGUCGUCUUCCUUUGUGAUGACCGCGGACCUCCGAGGAACCGAGAGCGAUCUCGCCGGGUUGAUCUUCGCAGGAGCCGGAGAAGACGGCUCAAGAACACCUGAAACGGCGUCGUCUUCCUUUGUGAUGACCGCGGACCUCCGAGGAACCGAGAGCGGUCUCGCCGCGUUGACCGUCGCAAGAGCCGGAGAAGACGGCUCAAGAACACCUGAAACGGCGUCGUCUUCUUUUGUGAUGAUCGCGGACCUCCGGGGAACCGAGAGCGGUCUCGCCGCGUUGAUCUUCUCCAAAGAAGAGGGCGCAUGCUCAGUUGAAACGACGUCGUCGUCGGAGAUGAAAAGAUGAGCAGAGAGCGGACUAGCGCCGUUACCGAAGAUGGUCGUCCCACCGGAGCCGAUCACCAUCUCCGGUUCUAAGUCUUCAACUCUCGCCGUCGGAAGCGACGGUUGGCCCGAGGCUUGCAGAACGACGUCAUCGGUCUGUUUCUUGACAGUCGUUGUGGAUGUGGAGGUGGUUGGGGGUGAACGAGAGGCAGAGUUGGCGGUGGUUGGCGGUGAACCGGAGUCGGAGUCGACGGCGGCGAAAGCGGUGGUGGUGAGGAGGAGAAAGAUAAUGCCCAAGAGAGAGGUUGGGGACGCCAUGGGAGAGUUAGUUAAGGUCUGGUAAAUUUCAGAGUGGAGUGAAGUGUAAAAGGCGAAGAAGAAAGAAGGUAAAGGGGGAUUAUAUACACGAAUCCCAGAGAGCGAGAAAUUCGCAGAAGCGUAACAGAAUCGACAGCUCAGCUCGGGUUUGUGCAUCAAAUUUUUGGCGGGAAUUCACACUUGUUUUGUGGGGCAGGGUCGGGACUGCAAUCGUAUACGUGUUGAAGUCUUAUUGGAGGAGGAUCAUAUAAUACAAGGUCGUUAUACGAUUACACGUGUGAAAUUCUUAUUAUUGGGGCUGAGGCUUUAACAAACUUUUCCUUUUCAAGAAUCUAGUACACAGAGAAGAACAACUUUUGGCUGGGAAUUCGGUUUGUUAUGUGUGCCUAAAAUUGUUAUAGGCUAUGUUUACAUAAUGUGUACAUUUCAAGUCACUUUUGCGCAUGGUGCAAUUUUUAUAGGCUAUGUUUAUUGUCUUAUUAACAAAAAGAUCUACUCCACUGUUCCGAGAGAAGUUUGGAGAUCAUUAAGUGGUUCAAGUUGAAUUGUGAUGGCCCGAUAACGUCUAAUUUUGCUGCCUUUUUUAUGUGAUAAGAUAUUCUUCUAGUUUCCGUAUUAUGGCUCGUGUGCCCCCGGCUCCAACAUCUCAACUGUUCUGGUGGCUGAAUGCAUUGUUUCAGAGAAGGUCUACUUACUCCCAAGAGGCUCAACUGUAAUCAAAUUGAGGUAGAUUGAGACUUUUUCACUGUUAUCAACUGUGUCAGUAACAAAAUUUUCAUAUCUUUAAUCGGUGAUGUUAAAGCUCUUGCCCAUACUUUUAACAUUGCUAGGAAACCAUGGAUUAUUGAAAACUAAAGAACAAAGCAGAAAAUGUAAAACACCGAAGAGAAUUUGGAGACUACAUCUUGUAUUGCUUGUUAAAUUGAACAGUGUACAUAUGAUAGCAUAUAUGCUUGGUAACAAGCAUAAUGGUUGCACCAAAUUACACUUUCAUCACAAUAUCAAUACACAAAUGUAGAACACUGACCAAGAUAACAACCUAAAAUCAAAACCCAAUAUUCUGAUAUCAACUUCUAACUUCCAUUGUGGCUUCGGCUGAAAGAGGAGAGACCUUGCUUGAAAACUGCAUAGUUCACAUGGGCAGUAGUGCAGCAAUAUGUAAUGCAUCCUCGGCAGCAUAGCAACAUAUGAUGGAUAACUGAAAAACUCUUCAUCUUGGACUAAAAUCUGAUAUAUAGAAAUACUGAAAAAUGCAUAUGACUGCCACAAAUUUUUUGAUACUCAUUUGCACACUACUAGCGCCAAGAAAACCACUUGUGCAAUCCACAAAGAAAUCUGCCUCAAUAC